rnacentral:lncRNA from 1 species
UAGGGUACUUGUAGUUGGCAUAGUUUUUCCUCAGAGUUUCCACCAUAUCUUUUGUCGUGGUGACGUGAGGUGAACAUAUGUACCGGCCUUCAGCUUCAGGUCUCCCGUAAACCAAAAGCAGUGCCUCGGCCACAUCACGCACAUCUACUGUGUUGUAGAAUUUGUUUUCUGUUUCUUCACAUCCUUCUGUGCAGCCAAGGAGUAAAAAGAAGAGCAGUUUAAUAUCAAAAAAUGAUGUUAUCUAAGCUAAUCUCUGAGUUCUUUACUGCAUAUAUGAAACAUACAAUCCCUUUGACAAAUCGUACCGCAAUAAAUUCAUGCGACUUUUGAACUGCAAAGGACCUACAGGUCGCAAUGUUAACCUUUUAUAUCUUCAACUACGUCCCAAAGCAAUCAAGCAAACAGUUGAAAGAUGCAACCUCUUCAGAUGUUAUGCCUAUUGUCUUUCUCACCUUCCAUUAGGUUCUUAAGUUUUUUUUUUAGAGCACUUUGCAAGUUUUCAGAUCAUUGCCAAAAUCAUAAAACUAUUAGAAUGGCAGAUAGCUUACAGGUUUAGAAUCUGAAAACCUCUCAGCUGGCUUGAAGAUUAAAAAAAAUGCCAAAAGGACGGCAACGCAGUUAUCUCAAUGAAUAUAGUUUCAUUCCUAGAAGUUCAACCGCAACCAUGUUGACGAAUUUUGUGAAAUUUUAUUGACAUCAAUUCAUUUUGUAUCAUGAAAAUAACACUGGAAGCCAGAAGCAUAAAAAUGAUGGGUUACUUGGAAAAUUAGUUGAUCAACCGCAUGAAGAAAUUCAAUUGCUUGACCUUUGACGGACCAAAAGAAAAAAUGCUAAGCUUUAGAGUUCAUCAGAGUUCUACAGUGACAUCCAUGCACCAAUAUCAAGGAAAAAACUGUAUCACUUACGACCACUUCCAUGCAGAAGGUGAAAGAAAGAAAGAAAAUAUAUAACAUAACAGAAUAGUUCUCUAAUUGAUUUGAUUACGGGCAUUAGUAAAUCACCUUUCAAGAGCUUUAUGAGAAUUAGGCUGCUAGCAUUUGCGUCAUGCUGAAGCAUGGGGCCAAAAACAUAGGAUGGGCAUACAGUUAAAACAUCAAGGCCAGUUUCUUUUGCAUAUUGUAAAGCCUCUCUUUCAGCAACCGUCUUGGAGUAACAAUACCAGAUCUGGAGCAAUAUUAGUACAGGAUGGUCAACCAAAAACAGAUAGUAAUUGCUAAAAUCUGAUUUCUCAGCAAUCUUAGAAGCAGUAUGAAUAAGACAGUGAAUUUUCUGCACAAUUACAAAACCAAGGUGCAACUGUAAAAAGUGUAAUUAUGUUGAUGCAUACAUUUGUUGCCUUGCAGUAUUCUCCGUCUGACCAACACUUCUCAUCUAUAAUUUCACCUUCAGACAGAUUAGGACUCAUUACAACAGCAGCAAGAGAGGAAACCGCUACAACGCGCUUGACAUUUGCUUCAGAACAAGCCUUCAGUACAUUAAGGGUACCCUUUACAGCUGGCUCAACAAGUUCAACCUGCAAGAAAUCAUCAUGUUGGCAGAGGAACUAGCACUCAACUCUUCAUGCUGAACCGCUUGUUUUUGCGUAAAAUAUAUCCAGAUAGACGACUAAGUAGUGUCAGUUAACCUGACAUCUUUAGAGUGAAUGAGUACAUAGUUAAGAACUCAUGACUGCUUAUGCCAGCGAUGAACUUGGUUACCAGCUUAGGUUAUUAUUAUAUGCAUUUAUUCACUCAUUUCAACAUUUGAAAAAUCCUUCCACAAAUAGAUAGAAAGGCAAAGAGCCCCAGUGACUACAUAAGUUCGUACAAAAGCUUUAACAAGAUCCUAUUUUAAACGAUACCCAACUUUAGCUCAUGUUUGGCAAAACGCAAUAAAAUAUCAUCUGUUAUGACAAAAGCUGUCUCUCAUAAACAAAAGAUAUGUUAAAGAUGUUAUUCUGGGGAAACCAAAAGGAUAAAAUAUCAUAGCAAUUGAAACGAUUGAAAAUGGUCUUGCCUCAGGAUUGGGAACAGAGCCUGAAGGAACAGGACUAGCUACAUGAAAUACGCCAUCACAACCCCUGAUGGCUGCAGAAAUGGAGUUGUAAUCCAGCAAAUCAGCCUUAAAGAGUUUCAAAUUCUCAGCUGCUUUGUCAAGUUUCUUCAGAUGAACAUAUUUCUCAUCCUCUACAAAACAUACACAGCAAUGCCCACAUCAUCAAAUAGCGCAGCACACAAUUCACAGCAGGUGCUUUUAUAUAUUUCUUCAAUUAAACAUAUUUCUCACCCUUCACAAAACAUUUACAGCAAUUCCCACUACAUCAAAUAGGAAACAGCCAAUUGACAGCAGGUAAAAAAUCAAUUGUUGUAUUAAAGGGAAUGAAACAAAUUAUACAAGACCCAAAACCCAAAAAAAAAAAAAGAGCAGUAAAUCAGGAAGGAAGGGGUAUGAGGAUGAAAUACGUACCGGGGUUUCUGAGGGUGGCAUGAACAGUAUAGUGGCGGGAAAGGAGUAGCUUGACUAACCAAGAUGCCAGGUAUCCCCCUGCUCCUGUAACACACACUGUCCUGUCCUUCUCAGCCUCCCACGCUGCCAUGUCUGAUUGCUUACUAGUAGCAGUAGUGGGAUUAGUAUUUUAGCACCAAAUUCACUAUAGACUGAUCAAGAAGGUGGGUGAAGUUCUAUUCUUUUCUUUUUGUGAAUAUUAAUUCUUUUUUGGUUGGACAAGGCAGAGAUUUCGUCGAUCCUUAAGGAGAGGGCGAUUGGAGGAGGAAGAGGAGGAGGGGGAGGAGGUGGUGGUGGAAUUUGAAUGGAUAAGUCCUGUAUGUAGGAGCUAGCUGAUUCCAGCAGUCUCUGUCAAUACUAGUAGUGAUCAGCAGCUAGCAGGCGUGGGGGCUUGUAUAUAGCAGCAGACCAAAGGUGCUGUUGUGAUUUGCAUGGCUCAUAGAUGACGUAGGGUUUCAAGGUUUCAGUGGGGUGUGGGGUGGUGGGGGGGGGGGAACGGUAAUAAUGGUAAAUGUAUGUCAAAUGAAAUUUGAGUGUAUUAUUGAGAGAUUUCUAGCAAUCUGUUAACAAAAUUUAUUUUAUCUAAAAAAGGAGUAAAAGAGCGUAAUAUUAUUAAGUUAUAAUAAAAUUUGAUGCAUAUAUCAAUAAAAUUAGAUAUUCUGUGCAUUUGAAUACAACAGUAUACUAUGAUUGUACCAUUGUCAGAUGUUUAACAAAUUUAUUAAUGGAUAUUAAAGUGUUAGAUUUUAUCUCAUAUUUUCCCAAUUUAUGACUCAGAUUUUAAAUUGAUUAACUCAUUAGAGAAUAAAAAACUCAUCCCGUUGCUAAACUGGACAAGUAACAAAUACUCAUGUCCAUAAUGGGGUUUUGCUUCUUAUUGAAAUUCUAUAAUGUGAACCAAACCCUAAAUCCCUCCAUCCUGAAAUAUAAACUAAACUACUCAAUAUUCAAAGCAAAUUCCGCUCAGUAAAAGUUUGUUCGAAUUUGAUUUGCAAACUAAUUUAAUCAAGUUACAAUAAAAUUUUAUGUUUAAAAAAAUUUUAACUGCAGCUCGAGCAUAGCUCGAUAAUCAUAAAAUUGGAUUUUAUAGAUAAAAAUUACUCGAAUUCGACUCAAUAAAAAUUCUUUUGAACUUGCCUCAGUAAAUAAACGAGUCAAUCCUAAAUACUAUCUCAAAAUUCUUUAAAAUAAAUAAACAAGAUACUUGGUUUGAUUAGACACAUUCACAGCCCUAUUUUUCAUAUGCUCGAUAAUAACAUAUUUCUGCACUGGACCAGAUCAGGAAUAGGUAUCUAACUCGUUGAGUUUUGGGACAUGUUUAUCAUUUUUUAAAAUCUUUUUUUUAUUUCUUGUUUUUUAGGAAAAAAACUAAAGGAUGUGUUUGGAUUAGAGACCAAUGAACUUUUUUCCCCCCCGUGCCUAAUUGCAGAUUAAAAGGAAGAACUAGUUCUUAGAUAACGUUUCUAAGUACAACUCUAUUACUCAGAAAACUGGUCUACCUGACUGUGGGUUUUCCUUUAGUCAUGCCAUUUUGUCAUUAGUGAUGAUUGCUUCUUCUAAACCUUAGCUCACUGCACACGCCAAGCGUAUGAAAGCCAAACUUAAAUUGAACUCGUCAAGUUGCAAAAUAAGAAAAUUUGGGUUACGUUUGGUAUGAGUAGUAAGGGAAAAUUUAAUUCCUAUAUUUAUGAUUCUUGACUAAUGUGAUUGUAGAAUUGUUGACUGAAAAUAAAAGGAAACUGACAAAGAAAUGUCAUGUGAUUGCAUGUGCAUGGUUAAAACAAUACAAAUUAUAACCAAUUUGAUCCAUUGUUUUUAAGGUUUUGAUCGUUUUGGUUCCUUAGUAUCAUGACAAGCCAAUUUUGCCUCUUAAAUUUAAAAAUAUGGUUAGGGAGGUCCUUUUGAUAGAAAUUUGAGUCGCUAAUGAAGUGAAGAGACCCUUUAAUGCCUUUCGUGUCACAUCCGUCUCAACAGUAUAUUAAAGUUUCAAAAAAUCUCAAAUAAGUCAUAAAACUCAUAAAAAUAAACCCAAAACUCUUUAUCGUGAAGAAAAUAAAUUUUUGUAACUUUAAAAUAAAUCAAACACAAAACUUUAAACAUAAUUAUGGAUUUUGUGCCAUUUCCGAGUUGAAAUAUCAUGAAAAAGAGUACCUAAAGGUGAAAGAAAAAAUGCAUAAAUUUAUGUUUGACAUAGUAUAAAAAACUUUUAUUUCAUUAUAUUGAAGAGUUAUGGGUGAGUUUAUAGUUUUAGGCUUUUGUUUGAAUGCUUGGUGUUUUCUGCAAGAUGGUACGAAGUACCCUCUAAGGUCUCUUAACUCCGUUAACAACUCUAAAUUAGCCUUGACCAAAUUCUUAAAAUUUAAGAAAAAUUGGUUCGCCAUAAUACAAAGGGACUAUAUUGUUUGGAGAUAAGAUACCAAAUUAAUUAAUUUUUAUUCUUUGCGUAAUUCAAGUGAUUUCUCCGUUAGCUUCCCACAAUUUUGCUGCAUUAGUCUCUUUUGAUGGAGAUAGAGCACUAAAUUUGUUGAUAUGACAGACCAUAUUGGCUGAGACUUCAAAGAUAGAUGACCAAAGCAACAACAUUUCCUAAGUAGUUCAUGAAUCAUUUUCAUUGUAUAGUUAGAUAUGAUAGAGAAGAUGUAUCUUUUUUAAAAAUGAAAGGAAAUAAUAUUAAGUUAUAGAUGAUUUCUUGAAUAAAAGGGCAAUAAUAUUAUUGUACUCACUUUUUUCAUUAUUUUUAACUUAGACUAGUUUUCAUGAGGGGUAAAAUAUACAUAUUUAAUGUUAAUGGGAGCAAAGUGUGAUUAUCCACUAAGUUUAGGGGACGCAAAGUGUUAUUAACCCUUUUUAUUCAUAAUAUAUAAUUUUGUAGACUCUCUCUCUUCUUAGGAUCCUCUCUAUCUUCUCUCUUCUCGCCACUAGUGAUCGUAAGGUUUCAUGGCAGCCCUUCAGCCAUCGGCUGAGGGGCAAGAAUUUUCCCCUACAAAAAAAAAAUCUUUUUCUCAGCUUUUCUCACAGCCGGCAACAUCUCCAAUCCAGAUUCGGCAGGCUUCUGUUUACAAGGGUGAAGCGGCGGUUAUAUUUUCCAGAAUAGAAGCGGACAAACUUGCAGCACCAUUUAGAUGGACUUUGGUUGGCAAAUUCUCUCAUGGACGACCUUCUCUGGAAGAUAUUCGAAAGUUUUUUGCCUCUUUAAAUUUGAAAGACCAAGUCUCCAUUGGAUUACUGGACUAUAGGCAUGUCCUUAUUAAAUGUACAGCUGAAGCAGAUUUCAAUAGAAUUUGGACAAGAGGAAUUUGGCAGUUGGGUAAACAUCCAAUGCGUGUGUUUCGAUGGACCAGGGAAUUUCAUGUGCAUAGAGAAUCAUCUCUAGUACCGGUUUGGGUAAAUCUUCCAGCUCUACCUAUUCAUUAUUUUGACAAACAUUCUUUGUUUUCCAUACUGUCUCCAGUAGGAAGACCUUUGUUUCUAGAUUCGGCAACGGCUGCUGGGAUUCGUCCUAGUGUAGCCAGGGUGUGCGUAGAGAUAGAUGUUGCGAAGCUUGUUGUGCCAAGGGUGUGGGUUGCUGUCGAAGGGGAAUCAGGUUUUUGGCAACGUAUUGAGACAGAGAAUCGUCCUCCGUAUUGUUCUUUUUGUUCAAGAUUAGGACAUUCUCAUGAGCACUGCAACAAGAAUUUGAAAAAAGAUGGGUCUCGGCUGCAACUGAACAACCAGCAAAACCCAUACAUAGAUAGAAAUCAGAUGAUUACUCAUCAACCUGGGACUAAUCAAACUGAUUUGGAGAAUAAAGAGGCAGCAAAUAUAUCCAAUGUUAUUGCAAAUGAAAUGAUAGUGAAUGGAGUUGCUGCUACUGCGAAUGAAACUGUGAUAAACGAGUCUACUUCACAGGAAAUUUCAACCACUGCUACGGUGAAAAAUGGGAUAAAAACUUUAGCAGCAAAGGCCAUGGUUGCUGAACCUGCCGUGCUAGUCGUGCAAAAGGAAGUAAAAAAUCUGCAACACUGCAUUAUUGAUGAUGAUCCUGCUAAUGAAGAAGGAGUAGUAACCCAUUUAGAAAUUUCAGAUGUCAACGUAAACAUGGAGACAUGUAAGGUGAUGAAUACGGUUUUGCAUGGGGAACAUGUAGCAAUGGAAAACCAGCUGGAGAAACAUCAUGGCAGUCAAAGUGAAGGGUCCCAUGUCCUCAAAGAGAAGCCUUUGAGCACCGAACAACAUCAUCUGGAUGAGAAUGCUUUAACAUUGGCACAACAGAAUCUGAGCGACAAAGCUACAACAUUUACACAAGCAAAUCAGGCCCACAACAACGCAAGGAGUGACCAUGAGCAAUUGGCCGACAAAACCAAUGUUGAACUGCAGCUGCUGGCCGACAAUAAUGUUUUGGAGAAUCUCUAUGUUGAAUUGCGAGGGGUGGAGGAUGAAGUUUCUACACAACAGUUGGUAGAAGCAAAUCAAAUGCCUACUAAUGCUGGAAAUCUGUCCCCCCGAAUUGGUGUCCUACAAGAAAAAUUGCUGGAAUCAUCAAUGAAUGGCCUAAACAUUGAUCAAAUAGGUGAGGCUGGUGGUGACUUCCGACAACCGCACAGAAAGGGUAUGCGGGCUCCAAUCCCAUCUGACAGACAGUUAAGGUCACAGACAUCAUCCAAAAAUUCAUUCCAGGUUCUUUCUUAUGAUUAAUGGAUUAUUUUGGAAUAUUAGAGGGAUAGCAAAAGCACCAAACCUAAGAAGAUUGAUUAAAUUAGUUCGGAUUUAUCAUGUUCAUUUUGUUGUGAUUUGUGAGCCAAAACUAGACGUAUCUAAAAUCGAACUCAUUCGGUUACGUCUAUCUUUUGAUUAUGUGUUUGUUAAUUGCUCUAGCGAUAUUUGGGUUUUCUAUAAUAAUCCUUUUGUUUGGUCGAUCGUUGGUAGUUCGGAUCAACAUAUUUCUCUAGAUGUUCAAAAUCCAUUACUACCAAGUUCCAUCAUUAUGUCUUUUGUUCAUGCAAAGUGCACAGUGGAUGAGCGUAAAGACUUAUGGACAUCAUUAUUACAUGAUAAGCCUACUUUACUUCCUUGGUGUAUUGGAGGUGAUUUCAACGUUAUAUUAGCAGCACAUGAAAAGCGAGGGGGGCGUCCAUUUGCUAUAGCGGAAGGAGUGGAUUUUAUGAAUUUCAUGGAGGAAGCUGAGGUCUUUGAUGUCGGUUUUUCAGGAUCUAAAUUCACAUGGUCUAAUAAUCGACGGAGUAGAGCUCAGAUUUCAAAAAGGUUGGACAGAUUUUUAGUCAAUGGAUCUUGUUUGGAUUUUUCAAAUGACAUUUCGGUACUUCACUUGGCAAGACACCCCUCCGAUCAUGCACCAUUGAAGGUUUCUUUUGCAACUCGGUCAGAUAACAAACCUCGGCCGUUCCGAUUUCUGAAUGUUUGGACUUCCAAACCAGAUCUCUUGGAAGUGAUUCGCCAUGUUUGGAAACAAGAUGUGGGUGGGCCUCCGCUACGCGUAUUGUGUUCUAAAUUAUUGGCAACAAGGAGAGCUAUUCAAUCAUGGAACAAGCAACAUUUUGGGAAUAUUUUUGACGUUGUCCGUUCUUCAGAAAUGGCGGUUCAACGAGCUGAGGAGUUGCUAGACCACGAUUAUUCCGAAGAGUGUCAAAUUGAGCUUAAUAAGGCACAAGCAGAAUUGCGGUAUUCAAUGUCAAUUGAAGAACAGUAUUGGAGACAGAAGGCCAGGGUCAAAUGGCUUCGUCAUGGAGAUAGGAAUACAAGAUAUUUUCAUGCGGUAGUAAGGCAGAGAAGAGCUCAAGGAAUGAUACACCGCAUCAAAAAGUCCAAUGGUGCGUGGGUGGAAAAGGACGAUGAUAUAGCAAGUGAGGCAACGGCAUAUUUCAAUGAUCUUUUCACGGGCUCUUUGGAAUCAUCUACUGAUAUGCUACAUUUAAUUCCGCACUUGGUUACGGAAGAGGAUAAUGGAAAACUGGAAGCAUUACCUUCAAUUGAGGAGGUAUAUGGAGUCAUAAAGUUAAUGGAUGGAGAAAGUGCAGCUGGCCCAGACGGUUUUACAGGCAAAUUUUUUACAUUUGCUUGGGAAGUGAUCGCUCAAGAUGUUUACAAUGCGGUACUGAGCUUCUUCUGUGGGGCGGAGCUACCACGAUUCAUCACUUCUACUUCAAUUAUACUAAUUCCAAAGACGCCAAAUCCUCAGGAAUUCUCUCAAUUCAGGCCUAUCAGUCUAUGCAAUUUUUUCAAUAAAGUGUUAUCUCGGAUUUUGACAGACAGGAUGGCUUGUUUACUGCCAAAAAUCAUUUCCCCACAUCAGACAGGUUUUGUGAAGGGCCGCAAUAUAACUGAAAAUUUUCUACUAGCUCAAGAGAUGGUAUCAAGCAUGGGGAAAAAGAAUAGAGGUGGAAAUGUUUUAAUGAAACUAGACAUGUCCAAGGCAUAUGACCGGAUGUCAUGGGGUCAUAUUAUUAAUAUUCUAAGGAGGUUUGGAUUCGGGGAAAUAUUUAUUGACCUUAUAUGGCGGUUACUCUCUAAUGUCUGGUUUUCUAUCAUUAUAAAUGGUUCCUCCUACGGUUUCUUCAAGUCUUCGAGAGGUCUUCGUCAGGGAGACCCAUUAUCUCCUGCAUUAUUCAUUAUAGGAUUUGAGGUUUUAUCUAGAGGACUGAAUAACCUCACCAUGCAAUCGAGGUUCCUGGGUUUCAAAGUUCCAUAUCGGUGUCCGACUAUUACUCACUUGGCAUUUGCGGAUGAUGUUCUUAUAUUCACAAAUGGAUCCUCUUCUUCUCUUAAGGCAAUCAUGCAGGUGUUACAGGCAUAUCAAAGGUGUUCGGGGCAGCUCAUAAAUGUGCAAAAAAGCUGUUAUUUGGUCCACCCAUCGAUGCCACCGGCGAGACGAAGGGUGAUUGAACGUAUCACUAGGUUUGCCUGGCAGUCAUUUCCGAUACGUUAUUUGGGAUUCCCUCUUUAUUCUGGAAGAUGCAAAUCUUCAUAUUUUGGAGAAGUGUGUCAGUCUAUUCUAGGGAGGAUUUUGUCAUGGAAAUCAAGGCUGCUUUCCUUUGGAGGCAAAAUAGUUCUAAUCAAGCACGUGUUGGCUUCUAUGCCAAUGCAUCUAAUGUCAGCUGCUGUGAUCCCGGCCAAGGUGUUCAAAAUUAUAGAAAGUUCGUGCUCGAACUUCCUGUGGAGAUCAUCAACCGACGACUCGAAAUUCCACUGGAUACGAUGGUCUCACUUGUGUUACCCGGUUGAGGAAGGGGGAGUCGGGUUCCGGAGACUACGAGACGUAUAUCAAGCUUUUUCAUGCAAGCUUUGGUGGAAUUUCCGAACAGGAUCAUCCCUGUGGGCAUCGUUCAUGAAAGCAAAAUAUUGCGGAAGCCUUCAUCCUUGUCAGAUCGAACUCAGAACAACGGACUCGGCAAUCUGGAGAAGGAUGAUCAACGUAAGUAGACAAGUGGAGCUCUCAAUGUUAUGGGAUGGAGCUUGUCAUUUUUGGUAUGACAACUGGUUGGGAAGUGGUGCGUUAUUUCUACAUGCAAAAGUUAUCCCAAAUUUGUCAUUCCAAAAUUUUAUCACCAAUGGUCACUGGAAUAUAAAUCUCUUACAUUCGACGAUGCCAAGCGAGAAACUUACUUCCAUUUUGGCACACCCGGUACCAGAGGAAGGGAGGGAAGUUGAAGUCUUUUGGAUGCCCACGAUAUCUGGUAAGUUCUCUCUCCAAUCGGCUUUUGGGGACGUCAGGCAGACCCGACACAAGUCAAUGGCUUUUACUUACAUUUGGCAUCUUCAGAUUCCUUGGAAAGUCUCAUUUUUCAUGUUAAGAUUGUUUCUGAGAAGACUACCAUUACCAGAUAGGUUAGGUAAGCUUGGCUUCCAACUUCCCUCAAAGUGUUUUUGCUGCUCCUCGGCAUCUGUGGAGUCUAUUGAGCACCUAUUUGCCAACGGACAUAUUGCCUCGGUAGUUUGGAACUAUUUUGGAGGCCUAUGUGGAUUCAGGUGUCCAGGAUCUUUUUUGCGUCCUCGCAUCGUAGGAUGGUGGCUACGUUUACAUGACUCUGAGACACGACGACUUAUCGACCGCAUUCUACCUAGUGUACUUUGCUGGCAGAUUUGGAAAGCAAGAAAUAAAGCAAUGUUUGAGGGUGUCCAAAUGCAAUCGUCUGCUAUUUGUAAGAACAUUUUCUCAGAAAUACAGUCUAUGGUGGGGAUUCAUUUCAAACAAGAACUUCAAUUGCAGUCCUUUCAUCAUUUGUAUGAUCGAUCGCAUGUAUCUGUCGGUAGAAUUGCAUAUAAAUUGGUUCGCUGGGAAAUAAAGGAGACAGGGAGAUUGAUACUCAACACGGAUGGAUGCUCUAAAGGUAAUCCAGGAGUGGGUGGAGGUGGUGGAGUUCUCCGAGAUUCAUUUGGCGUACCAGUGAUUGCUUUCUCGGCUUAUCUUGGACAAACUACAUCUCUCCGUGCAGAGACUUGGGCCCUCCUUAUUGGUCUUCAAACAUGUAAAAAUAGGGGCUUCGAAAAUAUAAGGGUUCAAUCAGAUUCAUUGCUUUUAGUUGAGAUCAUUCAGCAGCGUAUUCAAUGUCCAUGGGAGAUUCGAAGGGAAAUCAGACAGAUUUUGAAGCUCUUGGAAGAUCCUGCUCAUUUAUCACACUGUUAUCGAGAGGCUAACACAGUUGCUGACGCUUUAUCCAAUGUCGGAACAUCUCAUCCCCACCAACAAGUCAAGAUUUAUGACAGCUUCACUAUGCUCCCAAGGGUAGCUCGUGGGGCAAUUUUUCUAGACAAGUUGGGUUUGCCCUCAGUUCGGAAAAUUAGACGUCUGUAAGGAAAAAUAUUGUGUAUAUCUCUUUCAUUAAUAAAAUAAAAAAGUUCAAAUAAAAAAAAAAAAAAACUUAACUUACGCUUUAACCGUUAGGAUUUUCUUACAUUCAUUCGACAACUCAGUAACCAUCCUAUUGUAUAAUAACUAUCCUACACCUCAUCAAAGCCUGAUAAGAUGAAGAAAAUUUCAUUUCUGGCAUCUUAAUGCCUUACAUCCAGUAUUGAGGGAAAAAAAUUAGUCGCAUUACAGUCUGAGAAUUUGAAUCCAGUAAUUUCAUGGUCUGACGUAGUCACCCAAGUAGGUUCUCCUUAAAACAGGGUCUUGAGGCAAAAUACACAUCAAAUAGGUCAUCUGUCGAUCUUUGAUUAUGUCUACACGUUCAAAAGAUAGGCUUAAUCAUAUUAGUGGAAAUAACUCAUAGUUCAUCAUAUAUUAAUUUCCUAUUCAAUUUAGUUUGAAUACAUGAUCAAUGUUAUCAUAUGCCAAAAAAGAUUGAGGAUACUUUUGACCUAGUUCUUUGCACUAACUUGAAAUCUACCAAUUGUUCUUUCUUUGAUGCACUUGCAAAAUCUCCUGCAAAAGUAAAAUAACUCAGUUGGUGAAUUUUGGCUAACUGAGAGGCCCUAUCUUCUUUUUACUUCUUUAGCACAAGCGAAGAAUGAAUUUAUGCAUAAUAACCGUGUGAUUCUAAUGAGAUAUGAUUUUUUUGGUUUUGCAUGCUGGUUAAACAAUUGUUCAAGCUCUUAUCUCGGUUUUUGAUACUUCACCAGUAUGUUGCUGCUUCAUUAGAAGAAUUUUCUAUUUUAUGACUGGCAAGUGAUUUUGGUAUCUUAGCAGUUCAUCGAUUUUGGUGCUUUGUUUACAAUUUAAUUGGCUUCAAUGGUCCAUACAUAUAGGAACUUGGAAUUUACCCUUUUAUUUCCUUUUGCAUGAGCAAAGAUUAGUAAUUUUUAAUCAUAAUUUUCGAUUCCUCUAUUCUGGCCAUAGUGAAGAAAUCUACCUUUUUGUACUUGUGUAUUUGCACACCAAACAUCAUUGGGCUGUCUACUUUUGACAUUAUUCUUGAAUUACUCAGUUUAGAAUGUGUAUUAGUUGCUGGAAGCAAAUGCAUCAUCGUUGGCAAUUACUAAACAGAAAAUAUGCAUGCCAUUACUAUUUUCACUGAAAUUAGCAUCUAACUUAUAGUGAUCUAAUUAAAGGUUAACUACAUUGGUUUUGACUAGAACUAAGAGAUCAUUAGCCCUUUUAUUUUUGGAUUUGCAUUAAUCCAGUAUCAUCAAACUUCUUCAAAUGGGCUCUUUAGCUACUAACCCCUUCAAAAAUAAUUUAGGCUUACGGUUCUGUUGAUGUCGCAAUUGCAGGAGGUUCAGAAGAUAACGAAAGGCUCAUCUAAGAUUUCUUAAGGUGUUUGGCUUAUAUCGCUAGAUUUACCUAAUCUAUUUUCAUCCUUCUCCGAUGUCAUUAUUGUUAAAGUUCAAUUCAUAAGUUGGUUGUGUUAGAAAAUUGGCUUAAUUUCUUUUUAGAUAGGUUUUUGUUUUGUGCGAAAGUAACUAGUUUUCUAAUUGGUUUUAGUUACUCGAAAUAGUAGCCAAGAAAUUUCUUAUUUUGUUUAGAAUUAGAAGUUAUUUCUUAUUUUGUACAAGUCUAGGAAUUAAAAUUAAUUUCCUGUUGUUAUUUGGAUUUUUUGACCAAAUAAUGUUUUUAUAAAUAUGUGGGUUGGCAUGCUAUAAAAGAAACACAUAAGGGCACACAAGGACGACAUGUAACCUUAUACAUAGGUGGUGAGAGAGAGUUCUUGGGAGAUGAGAGAUGGUAUACAAAGGUUGGACUUGAGUUCGAGUUGUAUUCUUGUAUAAGGUUUUUCUCUCAUAACAAAGAACAAGUUUCUCUCCGUGGACGUAGGUUCAAUGGAGUCAAACUACGUUAAAUAUUGUGUGUUGUUUAUCUUUCAUACUUGUGGCUUGUUUCUCAUUAAAUUAUUAUGUACUUGAUAUCUUAAUAGUUAUUUAUUCUGCAUUUAGUUCCUAACAAAUAGUAUCAGAACUUGGUUGCGAGAUUGGGCUGCUCACAAGCACUUGGAUCCCAACAAACUGAACAGUUGGAUCAAGAGUUUGGUUGUUCAAGGUUGGAUCCUAGUUAACUAUUGAUAUCAAGUAGGUUGGUGACUGUUACCAAUUGAACAAUUUAAUGGGCGGUAUCCUUAUUUCAAGAGUUUGGCAAAAAGCAUUGAUGGUGAAUGAUGAAAAGUCGAAAAGCAUAGAGAUACUUGACGGUGAAUCUAGGCAGGUGAUUCAAGAGUCAAGGAAAAGGUGGAAUCCAAUGUCGAUUUUGGACGUGAAUUGGUGGAGAUUUUCUCACAACUUCAAUGGUUGAUACUUCAUCCCGAUGGUUUUUAGAUUUCACUUAUGUUUUUUGAGUGGUACAGAACGUGUCCCAAAAAAACAAAGAGAUUUAAUUUCUAUGCGCCUGAAGACUCUGACAGUUACGAGUCUUUUGUUACAGGUGGAUUUUUGGAAACCACACGUGGCGAGAUAGUCCUGAGAAAGGGAAGAAGUACGAUGAUUUUACCACUUGGUUGCCUCAAUGAUUAAGGUUAGAGUUCACAGAAGGAGAUUUUGGGUUGCAAGUGGUGGUGAGAAAAAAUCCUGUAAAGGGAAAUGGUGAAUUGAGGCAUCUUCUCACAAAUCAACUAGAGGUUGUACUGGGUGUAAAUACACAUAUUCAUUUGGCGAUUAAAUUAAUUUGGUAUCAGAAUUGUAUUGAUUCGAGUGUGUAGUUCGGUACCAUAUUAUUUGGUAGUUGAAGGUAAAUAAUUGUUAAAAGAAAUUUUCGCCGAGAUGGAGAUUUGUUAGGAAAUUGACUUAAUUUCUUUUCAGACAGGUUUUUGUUUUGUGUGGAAGUAACUAGUUUCCUAAUUGGUUUUAGUUACUUGAAAUAGUAGCCAAGGAAUUUCCUAUUUUGUUUAGGAUUAGAAAUUAUUUCCUAUUCUGUACAAGUCUAGAAAUUAGAAUUGGUUUCCUAUUAUUAUUUAAUUUUUUGGCCAAAUAAUAUUCUCUAUAAAUAGAUGGGUUGGCAUACUACAAAGAGACACACAAAAGCACACAAGAGACGACAUGUAGCCUUAUACAUGGGUGGUGAGAGAAGAUUUUUAGGAGAUGAGAGAUGGUAUACAAAGGUUGAACUGGGGUUCAAGUUAUGUUCUUAUAUAGGAUUUUUCUCUUAUAAUAAAGAACGAGUUUCUCUCUGUGGAUGUAGAUUCAAUGGUGGAGCCGAACCACAUUAAAAAAUAGUGUGUCAUUUAUCUUUCAUGCAUGUGGCUUGUUUCUCAUUAAAUUGUAGUGGACUUGAUAUCUCAAUAGUUGUUUAUUCCACGCUUGGAUCCUAACAAACUGCUAAACCAAGAUUGAUGUAAUUGCGUCCUGUACUUGAGAUAAUAGAAAUAAUGAAAACAAGAGAGUUUGCAAUUCAAUUGAUUAAGGGAAGAACAGAGAAAAUCCCUGAAAAUGGGAAUUAAAGGAAACAAAGGAAACCCUAAAACUAGUUUCCAAGAACAAUUCUGUCGAAGACAGAAAACAAAGAAAAUAGUAUCAAAGGCUAUAUCGUUAUUUAGAAAACAAGAAGCACUUGAAGGUGAAUGUUGCAGAAAGUAGAAGAUCCCACUACAAUUUACUAGUUCAAGGAGCUAUAAUUAAGAAAGAAAGAAGAAACUCAGAGAAUUAGAGAUUGUUAUUGAUUGAUGAAUGAGUAGGAAGAAUGUAGAUGAAGAUGAUAAUCAAUUACAAGUAAUGGAAAUCGGAAAUCCAAGAACUGCCUUCAACUUACCACUCUCCUCUCUUUUAUUCGGCUACUACACUUGUCCAAGUCAGCUAAUUCAUUACAACCAACCGACAUACAAGAAUUAUAAGGAUUAUUCAUUAAGUCCCUAUCAUACUUGCUUUAUUACAAAAAAAAUAACCCUAUCAAUAAAACUAAGGUAACAAAUACUUCCCCCUCAGAGAAUCCUUGUCCUCAAGGAUUAAAUUCAGGAAAUUGUUGUUUAAGGUCAAACCAGAAUUCCCAGAUAGCAUCUUCAAGAAAAGAAUUGCUUCACUGCACCAAAACUUUUGUAGCAAGAGAGUUACCACAUUUCACCAAUUUCUGAUCAAGUAUGGCUAUAGGCUCCAUUAAUAAUUAUCCCUGUGUAUUGAUUGCAAAAGGAAUGUGUGAGGUAACUAGUGAGUGCCCACUUUCUUCUUUAGAAGAGAUACAUAAAAAAUAGAGUGUAUUUUUGCCAUAUUAGGCAGCUAAAGCUGAUAUGCAACAGGGUGUACUCUUUUGAUCGCUUGGAAAGGUCCAAAAAACUUAGAAGCUAACUUCUGACAAGAGUGUACCUUCAAAGAGUGUUGCCUCUAUAGUUGUAGUUUCACAUAUACCCAAUCUCUUGCCUAGUACUGUCUGUUAGACCUGUGUUGGUCAGCUUGUUGCUUCAUCCUAUUUUGUGCCUUGUGAAGGUUGUACUUUAAGUGAUGCAAAACUAUCUCCCUUGCUGCCAAGAUUCUAUCCACCACUUCCACUACUAAAUUCCCAAGUAGACAAGGCAUAUGCAGAGAUGGUGCAUGACCAUACACCACCUCAAAUUGGAUAACCUUAGUGGCAGCAUGAAAUUUGGUAUUGUACCAAUAUUCAGCCAAGGGUAACUAGAUAGACCACUGCUUUGGAAAAUCUCCACACAUUCACCUCAAAUAUUACUCCAAACACUUGUUUACCACCUCAGUUUGACCAUCUGACUGAGGGUGGUAGGUAGAAGAGGUAUUAAUCUGCACUUUCAGUAACUUAAAAAGUGCUAAUGAGGACCACAUCCUUGUCACUAACAAUGCUCUGAGACAACCCGUGAAGUCUAUAGAUCUGAUCCAGGAAUAUGUGGAAAUAUAAAUGCUGAAUAAGCAUGUGACAAUGCCAAGAAGUGUGCAUACUUACCUAACUUGUCAACCACCACCAAGAUGGCUUGUUUACCAUGUGCAUUAGGUAAACCUUCCAUAAAGUCCAUGGAAAUUCACUCCAAACCUUUUGAGGCACACGUAAAAGUCGUAAUAAACCCAAAUAAGCAGUAUUGUCAUAUUUGUUGCACUGAUAGACAUCACAUGCAGCCACAUAGUUGACUAUGUCUUGAUACAUUCUUCUCUAAUAAACCACUGACUUCAACUUCUUUUAGGUAGCAUAAACUCCUGAAUGUCUCCAACAGCACUAGAAUGCCACAAGUGAAUUAUAUUAUUCUUGAAUUGACCGUCAUUUUCUACCACUAGUCUCCCCAUCCUUCUUAACUGCCAGUUGCUCCAUGUGUAAUAAGGUGCGACCUUAGAAAGAUCAAAUUGUAAUUGAGUGAUGAAGGUCUAUAGCCUUAUAUCUCUUUGCCAUCCCUUUUUAAUCACUAUCAAAAAUCACUGUUAACAAUGAUGAUGCAAGAGCUUCUCUUGGUUCUGCUAGUUUUCUAAAGAGAGUAUCUCUCAUCAUAUUAUAUGCUUCUUUCCUGUAUUGAAGCUCAUAAUCAAAUCUUACUAGCUUAGCCAUCCAUUUCUGCUGCAUAAGAGUGUUCAAUCUUUGUUCCAUCAUAUAUUCAAUGCUCUAAUGGUCAUUUUUAAUGAUAACGUACCUUCCAAGUAGAUAAGGUCUCCACUUCUAUACAGCAGCAACUAUGGCCAAUAUUUGCACUUUUCCAAUAUAUUAUUAUAUGCUAUUCUCCCACACACCUAAAUCUUACAUUGUCCCCAAUGUAAAAUAAAGAAUAAAAGAAAAGUAAUGGGGAUAACGAAACUUCCUUGAUAACUGAGGGGGCCGUGGAUAGCUACAGGUGAGGAGCAAAUGAUUGUGGAGCUCGACGUAUGUUGAUGGUUGGCGGCAGUGGAGUUCGGAUGGAGAAGGAUGGAAGAAAGAAAGAAAGAAGAAAGAAAAAGAAGAGAGAAAGAAAGAAAGAAAAAGAAAAGGAAAAAGAAAGGAAAAGGAAGAGAAAAGAAAAGGAAAAUGCGAAUGGGAAUUGCUCCAAUCCCAGCUGGUUUUUUGUACUACUACUUUGCUUCUUGUACGAAGCUUGAAGAUGCAGCACGCGCGGGAAUUUUUUUUUUUUUUUACAUCUGAUUUUGAUUUUUUUUCUUUUUCCUUUUCUGUAUUUCCUUUUCUUUUCUUUCUAAUUUUUUUUGCAAAAACAAUCAAAUAAAAAUCAAAUGAGAUGGAAUGAUUUUUUUUUUUAAAAAAAGGUAAAAAUAUAAAUAGAGAUAAAUAAAUAAAAAUAAACAAUAAUAGAUAUUAACAAAUCAUAAAAUGAUUUAUGAAAUUUUUUUGGUGUCUACAUAUAUACACAUACUAAUAAUUUUUAUAUUUUUAUAUUUUUCCUAUUUAAUCUUACCUAUAAUUCUUCCUUAUUUUAUUUACUUUCUCCAAUUAAUUUUAUAUUUUAAAAAAUAUAACAUCUAAAAAUAUAUAUUAACGAAGAGGGCAUCUGUUAGACAUGUCCUAUUUUAUGUAGCAUAUAUGUACUACAUGGAAAAAACUUUUUUAAUAGGUAUCUUAUUUUUUGACAUGAAAAAUGCCUUUUGACUACAUUCUGACUAGCGCCAAAAGCUAUCUACUUUUGACAUGUUGCCCAUGUGGGGUCCUUGAUGAUUGGUGUCACAAUUUUAACACAUGGUCGUACUAGGUACAAUGUGGUCAAUAUUGGAUUAGGAGCACUAAUUCAAAAAAAUUGGUGUAAUUGUACGGUUGUUAUUUUUUUUAUAUAAAAUUUGGCACAUAUUUAUAUAAAUGUUUAUAUAUUUUUAUACAUUUUCAAAAAAUAUUUUAUAUACUUUUUUAAAAAUAUAUAUAUUUUUGUAUAUAUAUUUUAAAAAUUUUGGUAUUUAUGAGCAAAAUUCUUACAUACAAUAAAAUAAUAGCAUGAUAUGAGAUGAAUAAUAAUUGAAUAGUACUGCAGUUGCCCCAUUUACCGGUGACGCUACUCGUAACUUGAUGUUCAAAAAGUACCACCAUAACUUUUGCUGAACUAAAUUUGAAAAAGCAUUUCAUCAAAUUUGAAUGGUAUCGAAUAUAAAAUAAUGUUCAAAGUUGAUUUGACAAGUUGGUGAACCAAAUCGAACGAGCUUUUACCAGACUGAACUUAAUUCGAAUAUCAGUAGUUUGAUUCAUCUUUCAACCUUUAUACCGACCAAAAAAAAAAAAUCAAUUACCAGUCAAGUAUAAUGUCUUAUUUUUUUACCAAGUUUUUAAGGGUGUGCACACCAUUGUUCUCCCUUUUCCUUUGACAUGUAAGGCCAGUUUUCCUGCUUCAUGUGUUGCCUAAUUUAAGUUUCGUUUUAUGUUGACUCCUAAUUUAGCGUCUUCUUGAAAGCUCCGACUAUUGCUCGGAAAAAAAUAUUGCUGUUGAAAACAGAGUUUUUUGCCAAAAUAACACUCUUUCUAAAAAAUAUUCCCAAUGUGAUUCACUUUCAAAUUUUAUUCCCAAAUCGAUGUUAUUGUUGCCACCUAAUUACUCUGAUUGCCAUGUAGGAUAACAAGAAAGGAAAGCUUUAAUCUAGUUUAUAGUUUCCAAUAAAAACUAAAAAUUUAAACUGUUUUAUUAUAGAGGCACAAGAAAAUUGCAUAACUUUGAUAAUUUCCUUAUAAUUAUUUAAAAUAAAUUUUACCAUUAUUGACCUUGCUAUUAUUGCUCUCUACAAUUUUUUUAAAUGUAUCAAACUUAUUGCAUAUAUUUUUUCAAAAAUAAAUUUGCAAAAUACAAAAAUUGCAAUGAACAUUAUAAGCAAUAAUAAGAAAAAGUUAAAAAACUUCAAGGUUAUCAUAUUUGUUCAUGUUAUGCUUUCUACUCCUUGAAAAGUACUUUUACAAAAAGUAAUCAAACUAUUGCAAUUAAGAUAAUGCUAAAGUUUAUCAAAAGUAACACAAGCCAUUAAUUGAUGUUGAAUAAAUAUGCAAAAAUACUUCAAGUAUACGAGAUUAUUUGAUUAUGUGAUAGAGAGGCACUACAAAUGAACAUGCUUACAUUGAGCAUGAAUUUAUGUUGUUACGUAGUUUUCCUCUUAGAUAUUUUAUCAAGCACACGGUGUGAGAAAUCAUUUGUUAAAACAAUUAGUAUUCAAAAUUUUUUGAAGGCCAUAAGAAUGUUCCAAAAACUGCACAACAGAAAAGACGAGAAUAAUCUUCAUUUACCUUGAAAUUAUUAAUUCGAGGAGAAUAUUUUCAUAAUAUCAGGAAUGAUAAUGAAGUUUUAGAUGUUGUUAAUAUAAAUAUUGACUUUUAACAAUUACAUUUGACAAGGAAAAAUAACGAAAGGACAAAAAAUAAUAAAGGAAAAAAAAGUGGGUAGGUUCAGAGAGAGAAUCAGGGAAGAUAUUAAUUGGAAAAGAGAGAUAGUACGUGUCUCUAUCUCUAUCCUACCACAUAUGCAACCUAUGUGGAAAAAAAAGAAUUAUAAAGGUAAUAAAUUUUAAAAUUAGGUUACUUUGGGUAUAUGUUUCAAAAGAAGAGUUAUUUUGGCAAUAAACUCGCUGAAAACAUCAUCACAUAUUUGGAAAGAUUUACUUGUUGCUCUGGAUUUUAGGUUUGAUCUUUAUUUCAUAAAGCAUUUUGUUAGAUUUCAAUGGCUUAAAAAAAUGAUGACUUUUGUUAGAAUAUUGAGCUCUCAGACAUUCAGUGCAGGCCUAAUAUUUUUUUUUUAGUACUGAAUUUGUUUUGGAUACGUUAGUAUUUCUUGAAUUUUAGAAAAUGCUUCUCUUUAAUAAAUGUAAGUUCAUUUUAAUCUUGAUUCGCAAGCUUUUCUUGUAAAUGGUUUGCCAUUUCUUAUUAGUUGUUACAGUAAAUUUAGCAAGCAUAUAUGCUUUUUGUCAAAAUUCAAUCAUUUCAAAAUCUAGAAGGGAACUUCUAAAAUAUCUGCAUCCUCCUUUUCUUUUUUCUUUUUCCCCCUCUUGGCUUUGUAUUCAGAAUCAGAUUGUGUUCAAUUAGUUGGAAUUUGCCUUUGGAGUUAAAAGGGAUUUCCAUUUUUUCCUAGGUAUUCCACAGCUUGCAUACCAAAAGCACAGAGGCGGAAGAAAACCUAUGAUUAAAUCAUACAACAGGAUUGUAAGAAAAUGCCCACUCUGAAAAAAUGAAAAGUUGAAUUUCCUAUUUUCAAAUUUACAUGCAAAAAAUGAAAAAUGACAUGCAAGAAAUAGUCUACUAUUUCGCAAUUUUUGCUGUUAUGAGAAAUAUAUUACAAAUAAAUCCACAUAAAUGGUGGGAAUAAUAACUCAAAUAUGGUGGGACAAAUAAACAUAUAGGGUGACCCCUGCCAGCUGAGAUAACUAGCUGGUUUAUUUAAUUUAAUAGUUUGAAUACAAUAGUAAAUCAAUGCCAUAGCUCAGAUACUGACUAAAUUUUUCUCCCUGAAGAAUUCAACAGCAUCUUUUAGGCUGACCUCCAAAGGAGUGAAUCGAACUCCCAACCUUUUUGCCUUCUCAUUGGAGGCUCUGUAGUUUGGGCUGAUAAGGUUGGUAUUGUUUGACAUUCUGCUGUAUGCGGGACAAUACACAAUUAUGGCAAACAUAAAUAAAGCUUAGGUAAUGAAAAUGCAAGUGUAAAUUCAAAUGCUUGAAAAUCUACUGGACAAUUGCCUCAUAUCUACUGUAAAUUGUGCCUUUUUACGAAGUUUCAAAAGACCUUUUAAAAGAUAGCUUUAGUUGUGAUAUGAAUGAAAUUUAUUUUUUUAAAAAAAAAAACCUAAAACGGAAUUUCUAUUUUGGAGGCAAAGCCAAUUUGGUGCUAUAUCCUAGUCCAAAGAAGACCAUCUUCUAGAAAUCAACCUGAGAAAGAGCUCAUUUUAUGGAACAUGAGACCAAAAGAAAAAAAAAAGAAGGCAGAAAAUUUAGGAUUUAAUGUCCUUUAAAAGAGAGUAUAAAAAUAUGUGAUACAUUUUGGACCUAUACAAGGCCAUCAGCAAAAGCCUGUAAAGACCUAAACAAGGAAAACAAGACUUACUUAUCAGGAAAUUGGUGAGUUGCGUAAUGCUCAUGCAAAAUCUUGAUGAUCUGAGAGGCAUUUGCACAUCUUUCAACCAGACAAUAUCUUCCACUUGCAGAAGGGGUUUCAAGGGCAAGAACAUGUGCAUAGGCAACAUCUCUAACAUCAACCCAGCUACAUGUUGCCUUAGGAAAUGGUUCAACCCCUGCAUUUGGCACCUAAGAUCUUUAAACACAUUUUUUUUGCAGGCUCUUCAGCGAACAUAAGUGAAACUCUGCAUACAAUUAAAUACAAUGUUGUUUGCCAUGAAAAGAGUCAAAUUUAGAGGCCAUGGCCUGCCUUCCAGAAGAAAUGUGUGGUAUGUACUACUUUGUUCUGUUUUAGUAUCAGCAAAGCCACAGAGGGGAGGGAGAUGUGAGGAAUGAACUACUUGAGACAAUUCAGAUAAUUGGUGAAUAAUAAGAAAGAUUAAUCCCAACAAUCUUCUAGUUAAUCUGUCGAGUUAUUACCUGGAAUUUCUCAGAUUUAGAGUUAGGUUUCAAAGGAUAGUUUAUUUAUUUAUGUGAGGAAUAAACAAGCUUUAGCAAGUCUGAACAACAUAAACAGUGACUACUCCUAACAAAUUUUUCCUCACAAUUACCACCAAAAAAUUUCUUUUCCUUCCUGUUAAUCACAUAGAACGUCAAUGUUGUUGAAAGGAAGAUGCACACAACGUGAAUUUCAGAUGAAAGAUUGUACUGCAAACCUUUAAAACAUCAUAAGCUGGUCAGAGUUUAUAGCUUGAUAUAUCAGUUCACAUUCUGAUCUAUGUCUGUCAAUCAUGUGAUUAGCCAGCAGUGCCUUGAAAUGUUAUUAGUCAUAAGUUUUUUGUUCUACUGUAACAAAGAAAGUUGUGGUGCAUAAUAAAGCUAUAACUAACAUAGAUGGAAGAGUCAGUUAGACAAUGAUUACUAAGGUGAUUCAAUAAAUUUUGAAACAAACCCUUUAAUAGGUUGAGGAACAAAACGGCGCUCGAAUUAAUAGAUGGCUGCAAGAGAGGACCAAUGACCAAUCCUGGAUGAAUUGUGAUUGUGUGUCAAUGCCAUGCUCCUUUGCAAAUUUCAAUGCAGCAUUCUCGGCCAUGGUUUUUGAAAGUUCAUACCAAGACUAUCAACACCAAAAAAUCAGUAAAUGUUGGUAAGAUGGUAGCAGAAAGUAAUUAGAUUUGUAAACUUUAAGAAGUAACAUUAUAAAUUUAUACAAAUUUGACAAAACCAGUAGCUAACAACAGUUGGAACUAUUAUUGCUGUGGCUACAGACCACAGAGUGAAAGUAUCCACAUUUCCUAGGACAAGCUAUGCUCUAAGUGAAUAAGUAGAUUUCUCAAGGAUCCUAGCAAUGGUGUAAACUUUUUAUAUUCAAGGAAUGAUGCAAAGCACCAGAGUGUCGACAUAUCCUGAUCAUCUGAUCUCUUAAUCCACAAGUUAACAGCAAAACUACAAGGGACCUUGACACUUGAACACAUAGAGCCAUAUUCAUGAUAUUAUAGCAGAAGUUCCCUUUCAACCGACCAACCAAAUAUUGCUCAUCUAGGUGUGUAUUCUCAGACAAUAAUAUAGAGUUUGAUAAUGCAAGAGAUGCAUAAUUGAGUAGGAAAACUUUCAUAUUGCUCUUUCCUCGACUAUUCCACACUACAUUAUUAAUUUUUCGUUAAAGUUAAGUUGUUACUUAGAUAGAAGGAAAGAAAUGGACUGACCAUUCUGGUUACAAAAAUAUCCUUCUUUUUGCCUAUUAAAGUACCACCAAGUCAUGAAGAUCCUAACUUAAUUAUCUCCACAGCUGGGCUAACUCCUCAUAUGUGUUCCAAUAACAAGUUAAAACUAAAGAAUUCCAGCAUUCCGUAUUAGAUUUUGCUGGAAGAAGACGGACAAUAUAUGUACCUUUUGGUCCUCACAGUAUGAUGGAUCGGAAAACCAACUUUCAUCAACUACCACAUCCUCCUUUAAUUCUCUGUUUUUUGAAACUACAACCAUAGAGGAUGUUAUAACUACUCUUUUGACAGAAGAAGAAUUUGCACAUGACCGCAGCACAUUCAGUGUUCCGCUUACUGCAGGUUCCAGUAGUUCUGCUUAUGAAAUCAAACCAAGUUAAAAAGGAAGUCAUUACCAGUCAUAAGUAAGACUAUGCUUUUAACCUGCAAAAAACUUAUCAUUCGGGUAUUAUGUUUGAGAAUUUCACCACAAAUGCUGUAAACCUACAGCUUUAGUUACUUAGCUAAAGGAUGCAUAUAGUUGUCUUAUCUCCUCUUGCUGCUAAAAUAAGGUCUCAGGUCCUUUAUUGUUGUUUUUUCCCGAAUUUUUUGAGCUUUCACUGGGUGACAGGAACUUGAGACCAAUAGAGGAACAACUGAAAUAAGUCUCAGAUGUGGUCACCAAUUAAACCGUUUGCUACCAAAUAUCAGCCAAUGAAAUUCUGUUCUGGCUUGAACAGGACAGACAGAGAAAAUAGAAAAGGAGUAGCUCCCAUAAAUCCUGCGAACAGAUUUUAGCGUGAACACAUAAUGCAUGUUGCAAUUUCUUUUAGUGUCUGUGAGUCAACCUUGUUCAUUGAAAUGACUAAAAUCAAAGUUCUACGAAGUUACUUAAAUAAAAAUCCAUAAACACAAUUAGAGAAACAGACAAGGAUAGGUGUACUACGUAAAAUUUUAAGGCACAAUCAUUAAUAGAAGUUAAUCAACUUACAAAUGAAGAUACAUUUAUUUUGCAGAUGCUCGAACAUAUAUUGUAGUUUCUAUAGGCUUCUUAUUCAUGGUGAUAUCGGCACCCAAAAACUAUGGCUCUAUACUGACUGAAUAAUUAGUUGGUCAAAGCAGCGAUUCAUUUGCUCCAGGACAAGCUUGUAGCUUGCUCUAUAACCUUACCCUGACUGACCCACCCCAAUGUUUCGAAAACUGGAUCGGAUCGAUCGGUUCGAUCGAUUCAAUCGCGAACCGAUCAUGUCUCCGAUCCGGUUCAAUUACAAAGCUAAAGAAUUAAUUGAACCAGUCAAAACCGAUCAAGAACUUAAAAAAAUCGAAGGUUCAAUCGAUUUUUAUUAAGUAUUUAUUUUCUAAAAUAAAUAUUUUAGUUUUAUUCAAAAAUUUUAAUACUAAAAUGAAUAAAAAAUUAUUAAAACUUUGAACCGGAGUUGAAUCGGUUGAAUCGAUUGAACCGUGAACCGAAAGAUUUUUCGGUUCACUCUCCGGUCCGGGUUUAAAAACAUUGACUUACCCAGGAAAAUAGUUAGUCGACCCAAUCUACGGCCCAAUUGUGGACCAUUUGCUAUGUUUAUGGCUCUUAAUGUUUUUAUUCCAUAACGUUGCACCCUUUGAAUUGUUUCUCUGAAGUACCAACAGAGAAACAUCAUUUCCUAAGGCAAAUGUUUUAAACAUCAUUUGAUCAUUUUAUAGAAACAUCAUGUAAACUGAUUAAAGAGAGACAAAAGCACAUAACACACGACAGUCUUUUUGUGAAUGACCUGCAGGAACAGAAUAGUUUUGUAUGUACCAAAUGUAAAGAAAUAUUCUUCAGGUGUUAGACCUGCUUGCUUCAUUAAUCUCUUCCAUUUGGUUAAUAUAAGAAUAAGUAGAGCUGUAGAAUUGGAAACAUUUGAUUCUAACUCUUUUUUAUUUUACAGUUGUAACAUUGUCAUAAAUCAUAUAUAGAGGAAUAGACUAUAACCCAAAAAAGCCAGUAAAAAUGCAACAGAGGAAGAUACUAAAAGAAGUCGUACAAUUAUAAAUCAGAAAAUAUGCUACGAUUUUCAAACUUCACUAGAUAAAUAGCAGAUUUUGUAGACAGUAGAGAAUUUUCAAUCUUGUAAAGCAAAUGUACCUCUGGAUUGCUAAAUGAAAGUUUGAUUGAAGAUGCAGUAUGGAAAACCCCUUCACAUCCCUCGACUAUUGGAUCAAACGAUCCCUCUUCUAGUAAGUUUGCCGAGUACAACUGAAGCCUUUCUUUAGCUCCAUCAAGUGAUGUCAAAUGUUGUGUCCUUUCCGGAUCAUCUGUGUCAUGACUGCAUCAGUAGAAUGUUCAGACAGCUAUAAUCAAAACCAUGCCGCCAACAGGAGACCGCCUUGGUUUUCACUAUGGUCAAAACUCAAGAAGAAAUGGACUUAAGAGUAAUAAUAAACGAAUCUCAAAGCAAUGUUAAAUUUGACUAGCUAAAGGCAAGCGGGGAAAAGCGAAAAGAAAUUGACGGGCAACAUAAUAUGACCACAAUAAUAUCAUAGCCCUAUGAUUUCUGGUUUUGAGAUGCGUACAUUUGUAACUUUCUUGAUAACAAUUAAUUCUUGAGAUAAUUAUCAGAGGGACAAUUGUAUGCCAUCUACCACUAUUUUUAUAACAAACUCAGUCCUUCAGAAGAAGGAUAUAGAUUCGAUAGGGUAAAGAUUUUUUAGUAUAACUUGAUCUUUGUAUCUGGAGCAUGAAACAUUACUGUUAAGGUAUACAUUAUAUAGUUUCAGCUACUCAAAUAUCAAUUAGGUUGGUCCACAUCAAUUUUUUUUUUUUUUUUGCAAGUGAUUUUUUUUUUUUGAGCAAACAGAACUUGGGGAGCAUUUACUAGCAGUUGUUGCAAGAAUAUCAUCUGGAGCUACAAAACAAUUUCACACUGCAGAGUUGAAUAAAAAUGUUGGGCAAAUUACAUAUAAUGCUCCUGUGGCUUUGUUUGUUGCCACAUGACCCUUCUAACAUUUUAAAAUAUCCAAUUCACCCACUAUGAUUUAUGUAAAGCGGAAACUUGAUGGAGAAUAUCCUAUGUAAUGUCGUUAAUUGAAAUACCAUUAGCAUUUUUACUUAAAUGCUAAAUCAAUCGACGAUUUAAUUACCUUAUAUAAAAGUAUAAGGGGAUUAUGUGGAUAAAUAUAAAAAUCACAGGAGGGAUAAAGUAGGCAUUUAUACAAACUAUAAGGGAAUUACAUUGAAAUUAAGACUUUAUCACACACGCUUUUAGAGCGUGUUUGGUAUAAAUGUCGUAACUAAUUGUGCAUUCCAUCAUUUUCCGCUUUACAUAUAACUAUGGGGGGUUAUGUGACUAUUUUGAAAUCUUAAGGGGACCAUCUAGCAUUAUAUAAAAUCACCCUAAAAUAUUGUUAUAAGUAAUUUACCCUAAAAUGUUAGAUUCCAGGAGCAAUUAAACAACAAUCAGAACAGGGCAUCAAAAACUGCACAAGCCACUUAGAUAGUUGAUCAAGAAUAAAAACUGGACUAACUGGCAUCUCGAACAGAACCUUUAACAGUAUAACCGCGCUCGAGCAGCAGCUUCACCAGCCAUGAAACUGUGUAACCCGAAGCUCCCGUCACACACACCAUUUUCCCUUCUCCUGCUCCACUCAUUUUGUUAUAAUAUUUUUGUGUGUGAAUCUGUCACCUGUUUGCCUUACUUCUGGACUAAUAAUAAUGGAGGGAGGCCUAUAUGGUGUACAUAUAGCUAUGGUGAAGAAGACGAAAGAUUGGAUAUGAGAUUACUGGGAGACUGGGGAGAUCCAUAUCUAUUCUUGCAAUUUGCAUGGAUCAUCGCUGACAUACGUAUGGUAUAAUCGCGUCACGUCCCAUUUUAUCAAGGUCAAUUGAUCAGUGUAAAUAGAAAUGAGCAAUAAAUACGAGGAUAAAUUACCUUUUACAUCUUAUGCUUUGAUGUUUUAUCACAUAAUCCCCUAUGAUUUAAAAAUCUAUAUACGACUCUCUCAUAGUUUGGAUUAUUGUAUAAGUAAAAAGUCAAAUUCAAACUUAACAAAUUCACUGUUUCACUACUUUUUUUUUGUUUUUUUUUCUUGUUUUCCUUUUCUUUCUCUUUUUUUUUUGGAAAGAGUACAAAUGAUUUUGAAAACCUAUAUUUUGGCUUACAAAACCUUAAUUUUUUACAAAUACAAAAGAGACAGAAGGGAAAUAAAAAAUAAAAUCAAUAAGAAACGAAAAAUAUGGAAGGUAAAGAUAAAACAAAAAAAUAAGAAACAAAAAAAUACCAAAUCUUUUUUUACUAUAAAUAUCAUUAUAAGCUUUUAAACCAAAUCUUUUAUGGUAUUUUCUAGUUCUUAUUUAUCUAUUUUUUAUUCAAUUUCUUCCUUUUUAUGUUUGGAGGAAAAAAAGAAGUAAUGAAGGGAUAAAUUUGUCAAUUUAUCAGUUUGACUUUUUAAUAUUGACUAUUAGUUUUAAUGAAAAAACUAAUAAUGACACAUUAACCCAAAUCAUGAGAGGGUUAUAUAUAGUUUUUAAACCAUGGGGGUUUACGUGGUAAAACACCAAACUAUAGAGGUUAAAUGCAAUUUAGCCUAAAUCCAAAAUCAGGCGGUUGCAUAUGAACAAAUACCAAGGUUCUUGACUUUGUUCAAUACAAUCCCAAGGCUAGAGACACAAAUUUUAAAUUCACUACCAAGAUAAACCAUUCUCUUGUUUAUUUUUCAUUUUUUCGGGUCAAAAAGUACAAACUACUUGAACUAGAAACUAAUCCCGACAAAGUUUGUGGGUUUUUUUGCAAGAGUUUUAGUUAAAUAUUGGUUACUUCGCCUAAUUUGCACCUAUUUUAUCAUGCAAAUGCAUGCACACUUUUAAAAAAAUAAUGCAUGCACUUAUAUUAUUGCCUUUCUUACAUUUAAAUACUUUUUUCAAUUUAAUUUUACUUUUCUGGCAAAACUAAAUCUGAAGCCCAUUUCAAGAAAUAUCCACCGAAUACCAGGUAAACAAACCUCCUUCGUAAUAAAGAAUGAAAAGGACCAAAAAAUUUUUUUGUCUUUAAGGAUUAAAUUUAUAACCAGUCCUAAGAUAACACGCAGCAGUCUUUUUGCAUCUAACAAAGUUUUUGAUUGACUAGAAAUCCUUCUCUGAUUGAGAAAUGGGAAUUGGCUUGAUGAUAGCUGUACGCGAUAAAAGUUAAAGUUUUCAGAAACAAGAAAUAUACACGACAAAUAUGUGAUAUAUAAAUUUAAGAAAAAUAUGUGAGCACAAUCUCUGAGGUUUUCUCGAACUCGUAGAGAGUUUCCCUCGAUUCUCCUCCUUGAAUGCCAAUUCAAGGGCUUCGCAGUUUGUUCUUGGAUCCACCACCGAUUCCUUCAAAUCUUGAUAUAGAAGAUUUGAAGAAUUUUAGAAGAUAUUUGAAGACUCAAGUCUUGAUAUAUGGGAGACUUUGAGAGCUUGAAGAUCCAGACCUUUGUAGCUUGGAGCUUCAAUGCUUUGAGCGAAUGAGAUGCCUCUUGGUGUCUCUGUGUGUGACUUGGUAGAGAAACCCCUAUUUAUAGCUGUAGCAAAAGGUAGAGGCUGAAGACUUGUGUACCACUUUACUUGUCUUGCAAGACGUGCAGUCAUAUUAGGACUGUGCUAGUCAAAUAUUAUCUCUUCAUUUUAUAUUUAUUAAUAAAGAGAUAAGUAAUUCAUCGAUUGGCCAAACUCGUGGGGACACGUGACGUGGCGCCGUUUGACUGGCCAAGCUAUUGCAGUAUAUAAGAAAUAUACUUGGAUUAAACAACUCUAAAUGUUAUCCCUUUAAUAAGAAAUAAAUAUUUAGAUAUUUAUCUAAUAGACAUGUGACAUGAUAUGAUUUGGUUGGUGGAGAUAUCCCUGCAAUUUGAAUUGAUUCGGAAUACCUCAACUUGACACGUGGCGAAAUAUAAUUGGUCAUUUAAUAACUAAUCUUUCCAGGUGUAUAUGCCAUAUGGCAAUAUUCAAUUGGAUAAAAAUACUUUAUAGACCAAUGGUAAUUUUUGGAAUUUAAUUAAAAUUUCAUUGUCUACAAAUGCCCCCUCAAAACCUGUUUGCGAAGAGUACAACUUAAACGGACAAGUUUUGACUUUCUUUAAUUCGCUUAAGAGCCUUUCUUGCCAAAUUGGACUUCGAAACUUUGUGAAUCAAGUCACCUAAGUAGGAAGCCAGCCGCACAAAGACUUCAAUGACCAAAUAGGCACAUAAGUGAUUAAUCAAACUUCAUGGAAUUCAAUCUCGUAAGUGAUUGAUCAAGCACUAGUGCACCAGUGCACCUUACAUGCAAAACACCUUUUCAUUGGCCUAGGAAGUUACCAACUCCAAUUAUAAGACAAGUGCAUUGUUCCUUGAUCAAUCAUGAAUUCCACCGCUUCACAAGAUUCAAGGUUUGAACCAGUCGGCUUCUUGGCGAAAUUCUAAGAUUUGUAUCCUUGAUGAACUUAAACAUUUGAGUUCCUUUUUGUUUUCCUUCUUUUUGUGAUAAAGCCGAAGCUUGAAGAGUAACCCAACACAAUUCUUCAAGGAAUUAAUCAGCCUAUAGAAGUUGGUUGUGAAAAUAAUUCCUUCCAAGGCCAACAUGAAUUGAAGCUUUGUCCUUUAUAAUCCUAUGGAAGAGCAAGCCCCCGAAACCAGCUUAGAAUUCACUUUCUUUUAGAUGUUCAGCCUGCCAACCGAUUUAAUUGCUAGGAACCUCCAGAGCGAAGGUAUUCCCUAGACAAUUUAGGUGAACUAGGAAGCCAAUUACACUUGAACUCACCUUCCUCUCCGAAUUUGUAGUAGAAAUCCUUUCUAUAAAUCCCCAAGUCCAAAGCCGUUAAUGUAUGAAGCUCCUUGAAACUAGUCGUGGCUCUUAAUUGAUAACAUAGAAUGAUGAUAGCAUGUACUAGUGCUCUCAAUUUCCCGAGGCCGGAUCAUCUUACGUAGUAGCUUCAUGUUUGCUAUUUCAGACCAAUUCUAUUCUUUGUGGUAUUCCAUUUCUUGAAGCCAGGAUUUGCAUCAUUGUUGACUAAUCAAUUAACUUCUCCACUGAACAUAUUUGAAACUCAAGGAGCCGUCUGACACCAAUGUUGAGACCCAACUCGCAGAGGAAGUCGAUUGCGAGAACAAUUCUUCUCCAAAACCAUCUUGAGUCAGAGCUCCAUGUCUCUUUCUUCCCUCUUCGUCCCACUAUACUAAACAGGAGGAAACCAACUUCUUUCGCUAGUCAACUUCCUCGGCUUGACAAAUUAACCCGCUAAGCCACAAAUAAUGAACCCUUUGUCAUCUCAAGCUGAAACACCUUUGACCAGAAUCCUUCUUGAAUAUGGAACGCAUAUCUGCUAUAUAUACUCGAAGGUUUGAGGCAUUAGUUUUCCCACAAUCCAAAGGCAAACUCUCCCUCGUUUUUUUUCGCUAAUGUUAUCGAACUGCCGCUACGUCUUUAUUUGCUAGUGCCGUUGUUUAUUAUUUGCUGGUUUGCUUGGCUUUGCUAGCCUUUUCGACUAAUAGAAUCAACUUGAAGUCGGUCAUCACUGCUGCCGAGCUAUUAUUUCAAGGUACGCACUACUUUUCCCAAGCUAUGGAUGAAUUUCUUCCUUGCUAGAGUUCAAAACCCUUUUUUUUUCUUUUUUAUCUAUGUAUAACUAACCCGCGGGCUCUCAAAUUAUCCCACCCGAAAUAACUUUCAUGCAGUGAUCUAAUAUGCCUCUUGAGUUUACAGUAGAACCCAUACGGAUUAACCGAUGAAUGACUUGACGCUCUCAUUACCACCCUGCUUGUGUUUCUUUUUUUUUCUUUUUACUACCUUGCAUGGAACAAUUGCUGAUUUUUGUAGUCUGUGCACAGAUAGAUUCAGGGACAAUAUUUUCUUUGCCGAUGUUGCCAGAACACCUGACCCAAUGUGCUUUACAUUUAUUUCCCAUGCAAGAUGCUAAGUACCUUAUGAAUUAUUGUCUUUGUUGGCCUCGCAUGAAACUUCCCAUCAUGAAUUGGUUAGAACAUUAUGUCCGCCAAUCAUGCUUUAAGAUGAAAAGUUGAUGCACUAUGAGCGGUCAUAUAGAAAUAUUUGACGGUUGCUUCAACCAAAUUGGUGCCACCCGCUAUCCACAUCCUGUCGAUGCCAUUUUUUAUGCCAUUUUUUUCGUGUUUAUGACAAAUUGGCACCUAGGAUUUUGCUUUCCCGUACUUAAUUGCUAAACGGAACUUCAGCAAUAGACUUUGCGUGUUUAUUUUGAUGCAUCCUUGAUGUCUCGGAUGUGAUUAGCACUUGAAAUUCGUAUGCCUACUUGUCUUGUGUUUUAAACUUGUAGAAUUGCAUCCGCAUGUGUCAUAAGAUGGCCUUAAUUUUCACACAGGUCCAUAUCAAUAUCUCAACCUUACUAACUUGCUCUCUUGUAGAUAACCAACCUCGUGCUUGAAAAGAAGCUUGAAACAAUUUCGGGGAUUUGAAAAAAGCAACCAAUUAGGUAAUUUAGUUACCAAACUUUUGUAAGAAGUUCCCUUCAUCAUCUAAUACUUUCUUUUACAAAAUUCUAGCAAACAUACAAAUUAAGGACUACGCCACGCCAUUACCACAUAUUUCAUUGACGGACGAACGGGGUGGACCUCAAUCAAAGAGCUUGUCACUACAUAUUCAUAAACCCGCAAUCAGCCCGUUCGCUGAAUCUUUCAUACCCCUUGAAGAAUGCCUUCAUCUCGAAAAUUGGACUAGCAAGUGGGCUAAGGAAGUGGUGGCACCCUCGACUUUCUCCACUACAUCGAGGGAAGAAGAAGUGGUCGUAUUAAAUUCGUCACUUCACAACAGAGAUCCAGAAAUAGCCAAAUUCACGCUUCUGUUCGUGGGAUUCAAUAUUGACAAAACUACAUGGAAGAUCCUUUCGUCCUUCUUUGGCGAGGCGUGCUUCACUUCUCAUUAUUGGGAAUGGGUUGAGGACAUCCUCGGAAGGUAUAAAGAGGUACUCAUACGUACUGGCAUAUUUGAAGCUGUCUACGCGUCGAGCUACUCCUACGAUCGCUAUGAAAAUUCUUGCGAGCCUUCUUCAAAUAUUGGUGUCCCUCGACAAAUACACUUCAUACACCCGUUGGGGAGUUGUCCAUCACACUUUGGGACCUUUAUCGACUUGGUGGCCUUUCGAUCGAUGGCUCGUUCUUUGAUGAAGUUAUUAUUUCGGCGCAGGAGCUUCUCACUCGUGACAAAGAAGGGAAGCCACUUCUCCCUGAAAGUUGCAGGCACAUCUUUUCCGUUUACUACCACCUUUGGACUAAUGACCAAGGGAUAUGGAUGAAAGACUGGAUUCGCUUCUGGUUCAAAGAAGAGGCUAGGUAUAGGGUUCCUCCAAAUAGAGCGAAUAGAAGAAAGACCACAUCUAAACCGAAAAUGACUUACAGCCUUUCUAGAAGCUUAGAGCCACACGACCUUGCUGAUACGAAGGACUUCAACAUCCCUUUCGACACACUGGAUAUCCCAGGGUCUUUAAGAAAGGAAACCUAUAUUGCGGCAUUCAUAACUUGCUGGAUUUACAAGUUCCUUUUGCCAAGCAAAAAGGUCGAUCGUGUUCGCCCAAGUGCCUUCAAGGUUGCAUGCUUAAUGGCCACAGGGAAAAGAUUUUGCCUUGCAAUUCUCGUUCUUACGAGCAUAUAUCAUGGGUUGAGGGAGAUAUUCCACACCCCUAACCUUGGAGAAUAUGGGGUAAUUUUUCCAAUCUAUUACGUCUAUGCUUAGAUUGGCCAAUACUUCGAUGUAUAUUAUGAAAACAAUCAAGUGAGUAGCCACCACGCGCGCAUGACAAGAUUUAGUUGUGAGAAAAUGACAAUAUUUUAUGGCCGAUCAGAAGUUGAGAAAAUCUUCAAAGAAGUGAAUCCUUUGAUGCUUCCCAAAUUGUGUUGGACUGAAAAUGAAGAAAAGGUGUUGAUCGACAAUGGAUCCUUAUCAUCAAGACUUAUGAGCUACUUCAUUAGUCAACGCUCUUGCCAUUUAACUCUACGUAAGGACAAUACUUUCAUUGUUGAAAAAUAUAAUCCUUGCAGGUUUAGCAGACAAUUCGGCUUCUGUCAAGAGACCCCCAACAACUUGAAAGAGAUCACUCAUACUUAUACUUUGGGUGAGACUAUUCAACUAUGGGAUUCCUCAGUUCGCACGCAGACGCGAUCUCGAAUGACUAUACCCAUGCACAAGAAGCAUCCAUUGAUCACAAAAGACUAUGACGCCUGGUGGUCGACUCGGUCAAACAGUGUCUCUUCAAUUUCCUUUAAAUUCACCGUUAAGAUCCCUCAGCAAUCAUCGAAGAAGGGUAAGGUUACUUCCGCCAACGAGUCAGUGUAUCAUAAUGGAGCUAUAGAGAUUGUAACGGGUCUUACCUCAUCCACCUUGUGGAAGAACAAAAUUACUAGCAGUCCCUCGAAAAAUAUUGUCACAAAAAAUAAGUCUUCCAAGGACUCUCGACAGGUCAUCAAAGAGGCGCAACCAGUGAUUCCAGCACAGAAGACACCGCCCAAAGUUUUAAAAUCCUUAUCGGUGACUCACACAGAAGAAGAUGUCGAAAUCGAAACGGUGGACGAUCGUGAUUCUAUCGAAGCUAUAGAAAAGGAAGGGAUUCAAGUUCAGGGCAUCGGAUCUACCCAAGGAGGAGCCCAUUCAUUGGCGAGUGGUAGUAGUAGUCAAGACCGUCACUGGAACCGAUCAAAGAAGAGGACAUCUUCUGAUUUGGAGGAGGUUUCCUUUACACCACCAUCGAUUGGAGUGUCGCCACUUAAGGUAAUCAUCUCGCUAUUUUUUUUUUUUUAAUAAUUUUUUUUGGUAACUUUUUUUCUUUUCAGCCCCCAUUUUUUGAAUUCCGUCAAGAAGAUGUUGGUAACAAUUCACAACCCAAACUGAUGAUGUAAUUUCAAAUAACAAAAGCGACAAAGUAGCUAUCAGUACUCCAAAAUAAUUUGCCCACAGUUGAGGUACCUUGCCAAUGCGUAAGAAGGAGUUAAUUGGUUUGCACGAGAUCCGAAAGAGAUCUAAACCAGCACUGAUUUCAGAAUUUUGCGAGAAAAAAUUGAUCCAAGCGCAUCGAAGGAGAUACUUGCAGAGUUUGUGGAUGGAUUUUACCGAGCAAAUUCUUAACACUCCUAUUGAACAGAUCUCUUCUUUAAAAGAGUGCGCAGAGGAAAUCAUUACGGAAAUCACAAGAACGGAUCCUACCAAUGGUCUCCCUUUAAAGGACUUCUUGAUAGAAUUGUUUGCCAAGGCGGAGGCAUAUGAUAUUUUGGCAUUUUCAUCAUGAAAAAAGAUAAGUAAAAAAACACAUGCAGAACUCCUUUCCAAAGUGACCGUCCAACUCGGGAGAACUAAGACGAAUGAAGAAGAACUAACUCGUCAUCUGCAAAGUCUUGAAGAAAAGUUGCAGUCUAUUGAAGACAGGAAGGAAGUUCUGUAACAGAAACUUAUCAAUUUGGGAAAAAAAGAUCUAGAAAUCAGGUCAACUAUCAAUCAAAAGUAUGAAACUUUCAAAGAGAUCCAGACUGAAAUAACCUGGGCACAUGAUGAGCUCUCUUCUAUUGAAAGUACCAGCAUCUUGACUGAUGACGCAGUGAAAGAAAUUGAAGACAUGAAGUCUACACUUGAAUCAUGCAAGAUAGCCGUAGUGGACUACAAAUUUGGCAUUUAGACUUUUCACCAUGUCUUUUUUCUGAAUCUGUUUCAUUUUUUUUUCUUUUUCCAUGUAAUGAAUUUUUUCCCAUUUUUUUAUGAAUAAUAAAAUGCUUUCUGUUCCUUAUCUCUUGUUUUUUUUUUAAGAUACAAGAACUCAAAUGGAGUAUUUUAUUUAUUUCAUAUAUUUUUUUUGGAAAGAGAAGAUUCUUUUUUUUUUUUGCAAGGAACAAGGAUUUGAUUUGGAGUGGUGUGACUGAACCUAGAAGUUGCCCUCCAAACUGCUUACGUAUUCCAAAAAGGGAAUCAAGUCACACGUAGUUCCUGCUGUUCACAUUUUAAGUUCAUGCGGGCCAAGAGUAUCUAUUUGUUUACCACCUUAGACUUGGUGGAGUGUUUCACCAGUUUAACCACAUACUACACUAUUGGUGAUUGCCAUCCACAGUUUUAGCUUAUACGGGACAGGAGUAUCUAUUUGUUUACCACCUUGAAUUUGGUGGAGUGUUUUAGCAGUUUAACCACAUACUACACUAUUGGUGGUUGCCAUCCACAGCUUUAACUCAUGCGGGCCAGGAGCAUCGCGUGGUUCCGAUUACGCAUAGUACCUUUUUAAGUACUUGCCAUUGAUGGGACCAACCCUUAAUCCAUUCUCAGCAACUAACUUGUAUGAGCCAUUUGUAUACACUUCUCGAACAACAUAUGGACCAUCCCACUUAGGAGUAAACUUUCUUUGUCCGCCAUGAGUGAAAAUGAUCGGUCUCCGAAUAGCGAGUACUAACUCUCCAAUCUGGAAAGAGCGUGGCCGGAUAUGCUUAUUAAAUGCUUUUGAAAGGCGUGCUUGAUAGCACUCAAUUCGUUGUUGAGUUUCCAAUCUCUUUCGUCGAGUGCUUCUAACUCUUCGAGGCGAAGACAAAUAUUAUCUUCUUCACUGAACCCUUCUUGAAUCGCAAUUCUUAGCGAAGGUAUUUGACAUUCAAGUGGAAGAACAGUUUCAACACCGUAAACAAGCGCAUAUGGGGUCGCUUGCGUGGGAGUUCGAAAAGUAGUUCGGUAUGCCCAAAGUGCUUCUCCAAUUCGAAGAUGCCAAUCCCUUUUCGAUUUAUCCGCGAUUUUUUUCAACAGAUUACAUAAGGUCUUGUUAAAUGCUUCAACGAGUCCAUUUGCGGCAGCGUAGUACAUGGACGAAUUGCAUUGUUUGAAAUGAAACUUUUCACAAAAUUUGUUCAUUGCUACAUUGCAAAAAGGCUUACCAUUAUCGGUGAGAUAUAAUGCGGGACCUCAUAUCGAUAAAUGAUGUGCGAGCAAAUGAAAUCUACUACAUUCUCCUUUUUGACCUCUCUUAGAGGAACCGUUUCGACCCACUUUGAGAAAUAAUCCGUUGCCGCCAAAAUAAAAAUGUGUCCUCCAGAAGAUUUUGGGAGCUGUCCAACUAUAUUCAAACCCCAAGUAUCGAACGGUCAAGAAGCCACAGUUGGAUGCAAUGGUUCGGGAGGUUGACGGAUGAAAUUGCCAUGAAAUUGACAAGCUUGACAUCUUCUAACAAAAUCGCUAUAGUCUUUUACCAUCGUUGGUCAGUAGUAUCCCAUUCUCUUAAUGGGAAAGUGUAAUUUCGGACCAAAUUAGUGAGCACCACAUAUCCCAGAGUGAGCCUCCUCCAUUGCUUGCAUGGCCUCAUCUUCUCCAAGACAUCGUAGAGACACCCCAUCGAAUGAUUUUCGGUAAAGCGUCCCUUUAUAGUAAAUGAAAUGUGGCGUUCGACGACGUACAUCAACCCUUUUCCUGGGAUCUUCAUGUAAUUUCCCAUGAUUAAGGUAAUCAAUGAUGAGGUGACGCCAAUCCUUCUUUUCAAUCUCAUGGACAAAAAUAUGAUAAGUUUUUUCUUCUCCACCAUCAUCUUCUUCAUCGAACAUCGGAGGUAUGACCCAAUUUUGACAUAUUAAAAUUUGAUUUUGAUGAGAAGGUAGAGUGAUCAUGGACGCCACCCUUGCCAAAGAGUCAGCUUGUUGGUUAAAAUUUCUAGAGAUAUAUUCUAUAGUGAUAUUAUCUAAAUAUCCCAUUAGUUGUCUUGCAUACUUAUAAUAUGAGAUCAAUUCAGGUUUCUUGACAUCAUAAAUAUCAAGAAGUUGAUUUAUCACUAAUUUUGAAUCACCAUAGAUUCUAAGAUACAACUACUUCAUGUCUAUAGCCGUUUCAAGACCGAGAAUUAACGCCUGAUAUUCGGUCACAUUGUUUGAACACCGGCGUGUUAAAAUGAAAGAGUACUGCAAUAUAUCUGCUUUAGGAGUAUAAAAGACAACUCCCACACUAGCUCCAUCACGGUGAGCAACCCCAUCGAAAUACAUCGACCACGAGGAUUCGACCAUAAACACUUCUUCAUCGGGGAGUUCAUCAGUCAAUUCCUACUAGGCAGGUAUGGGAUGAUCGGCUAAAAAGUCUGCCAAUAUUUGUCCUUUGACAGCCUUUGCAGGUACAUAAAUAAUUUAGAAUUGUUGAAACUGGAAGUACCAUCUCGCGAGCCAAUCAGAUAGUACAGGUUUCGCCAUGACAUAUUUAAUGGGAUUAGACUUAGAUAUGAGUCGAAUAGUGUGUGCUUGAAAAUAAUGUUUCAACUUCUGAAUGACAAAUAUAAGUACCAAAUACAAUUUCUCAAUGGGUAAGUAAUUCAGCUCAUUAGAUGUCAUCAUCCGACUCAAGUAAUACAGCGCAUUCUCUUUACCUUCAUCAUUUUCUUGAGCAAGUAAGGCCCCAACCGACCGUUCUUGAGCGAAAAUAUAGAGAAUCAAUGAUUUUCCUGGAAUGGGCGCAGCCAACACUGAGGGAUUCAUGAGGUACAUUUUGAUGCUUGUAAAAGCAUUUCUACACGAUUCAUCCCACUCGAAUGGCAUCCUUUCUUCAUCAGUCGACUGAAGGGUUGGCAUCGUCCGACCAAAUUAGAAAUAAACCUCUGAAUAUAUGCCAACUUCCCUUGAAGGUUCUUCAAUUCAUGAAUAUUUCGCGGUUCAGGCAUGUUCACAAUGGUAUCAAUUUUAGAUCGAUCGACCUCUAUUCCCAUUGAUGAACGAUGAAACCGAGAAACUUGUCAGAAGUGACUCCGAAUGCACACUUCAAAGGAUUCAUCUUCAGUUGGUAUCUCCGAAAGCGUUGAAAAACUCUUCGAAGGUCUUGAAUAUGAUCCUCUCGCUUCUUUGAUUUCAUCACAAGGUCAUCAACGUAGCAUUCCACAUUCCUAUGGAGCAUAUCAUCAAAAAUUCUUUGCAUUGCCCUUUGAUAUGUCGCUCCAGUGUUUUUCAAGCCAAACAGCAUCACUUUAUAGCAAUAAAUUCUCUUGGGGGUGCGGAAGGCAGUGACCUCCUCAUCCUCGGGCACCAUGCAUAUUUGAUUGUAGCCAGGCGAUCCAUUGAGAAAAGAUAGUGCUUCAUGCCCGGUUGUAGCAUCUACCGUCAAUUCUGUGAUGGGGAGCGAAAAAUCAUCUUUGGGGCAAGUCUCAUUUAAAUCUCGAAAAUCAACACAAAUUCGAAUUUGCCCAUUCUUCUUCCUCACAGGAACAAUGCUUGAAAUCCAUGUUGGAUAUUUCACUUCCCGUAUGAACCCAACUUCAAUCAAUCUAUUUAUCUCAUUUUCUAUCAGAGAAAUCAAUUUGGGCCGAAAGCGCCUUUGAGUUUGCUUGACAGGUUUUGUUCCUCGCUUGAUAGACAAAUUAUGAACGGCGAUCCUUGGAUCUAAACCAGGCAUUUUUGAGUAAUUCCAGGCAAAGACGUCCCUGAACUCGAGCAGCAAAUCAACAUACUCUUUCUCUUCUUCAGAAGUCAUAUAAGAGCUUAUGUAAAUUGGGCGAGAAUCGUCGCUUGUGUCAAGGUUAAUCUCCUUUAGCAUAUCGACUGUAUUUUUUACCCCUUGUUCAAGUUCAGUGGGAGCGUUAUCCGCAUCUUCUUCUUCUUCUUCGGGAUCACUGAUCGUAAUAUGAUGACAGGAAACCAUAUUUUCUUGACAUUGUUCUUAAAAAAUGGUUUCAAUUCUUAUAUUGAAUAAGUCUCCAUAGUGCAUGAAGAAACUGGAGACUCGCUUUCUUAGUCCGUUCUUUUUUAUUGGAGUAAGAGUUUCUUCUUUGUCAACUUGGUACUCUUACUUUUUACUGCCUAAUCUUUCAUAGACGGGCGGUUUCAAAAUUUUCGGCUGUGAGCCAAAUCUGUCAAACACAAAAGUACGCUUUGACUUAUUUCCCAACCUAUCGAACACAGAUCUGUUUCGGCUUGUGACCUCCAUUUCUUCGUUCACGUAGUUAUAACUUGCCCUUUUGAUCAUUAUACGCACUGGAGAAGGCGAUUGAUAACCAAGACCCAUCGAUGAACUUUCAACAUUAUAGCCUUUUUCUUUCAAUAUUUUCUGCGUAGGUGUUAAUCCAUGAGUCUUCUCUCCAGUUACCUCAGGAGGGAGUUUGCCCAAUGCAUGCUUCUCAUUUGGGUUAUAACCGGCCUUAGCAAGAAGUCUAUAUGCGUUUGGAUCAAAACCUUCUUGAGUCCGAUUAAUUGGUAGUAAAUAGUAUUCUACUGUCGGUUCUUCUUUGGAACGAACACAUCCUGGCAAGCUCGCUUUCUCACCUUUAACAGGUUCUAUUUUGGUGAGCGGAACAUUUAAUGUAUCAUUCCUGAUAAAAGAAGACGACCUUCUUCUCUCUUUGAUCUUGGAAUAUACCGCAAAAUGGGUACUUUGAAAUCUUGACUUUCUUCCUUUACUGAUUCUUUUCUUUUUACUUUUUUCUGAAGGUAAAAUUUGGCAUCGACAAAGUGAGCCUCGGCCUCAGUGAAAGGUUUAUCAUUGAGAACAACCUUCUUAACUAUACCGUCUCGAUACUAUUUGAAAUAUUGAUGCAGAGUAAACGGUAUAAUUUCAUUCUCGUAAAUCCAGGGUCAUCCCAAGAGCAUAUUAUAAGAGGUUUUGGUUUCAAUGAUAUGAAAUAACGCACUUGAAGACAACUCAUCAAUGAGCAAUUCAAGCCUUAUAAGACCAAUUAUUUUUUGCCCCCAUGAUUAAAUUCUUGGAUCAUGAGGCGGCUUUGGGAGAGUUCAUCGUUUGAGAUUUCUAAUUCUUUCAUAGCGCGUACAGACAUAAUAUUGACAGCAGAUCCCCCAUCAAUGAGUAUCCGAGUCAUCUUCUGUUCUCGGACAUACGCACUAACAAACAAAGGUCGAUUGUAGGUCUUGAACUCAACAGUUAAAUCGUCAUCAUAAAAAAUAAUAGUCGUUGCACAAUCCACUGGUGGUUAUCAUCGAUUUUGAGUUUUUUCUCAAAUUUAGUGCUAAUUUGUGUGAUUUGAGGAUUUUCAACUUUGACGACAUUACAAGAAAUGGAAUUAUCAGCAUCGUCACUUAAAUACCCCUUGGGUAUAAAUCUCUCAGUGUCACGGGCUGUCGAAUCUCUUGAAGGAGCUGAAAAUCUGAAGGAAUUGGCAUUGUGGCCACUCCUUUUUAUUUCUUUGUUGCAUUUCAUUGUUUCAUUGUCAUUUUAGGCUUUGUCGAAUGAAUGCUUUUCGAAAAGAUGUACUUCUUUAUUUUUGGCUUGCAAGUUCUCUUUCGAGUGACUAAAGUCCAUCUUUCGUUGUCAUCUUCAAUAACGUAUUCAAUUGAAAAUUUUUCAAACUCCUUAGACAAAGCAUUGCUUGAUGUGGAUAAAACUUCUAUCGGACAACACAUAGACCCAAACAUUAUUGUUGUUUGGUUUGUCGAUACUUUAUCUUCUUCGAGAAGGAUUUUUUCUUGACGGGCCAAUUCCAUAAUUUUGUCCUUAAAGACAAAACAUUUUGUGAGAGGGUGGCCUAUCAGGCGAUGAUAACAGCAAUAAUUUGGAUCAGUGACUCAAUCGGCUUCCUCUGGGCGUUUCAUUUCGGGAAGUUCAAGGAGUUUCUCCUUGAAAAGAUCAUCAAACAUCCCUUGUAAAUCAGAUUCAAGGAAUAGGUUUCUUUUUCUUGCAUCUCUUUCAAAGUGGGUCUUCUUACCUACCUAUUUUGAGGGGAGUCUACCUUUUCGGUGACCUUUCGGCUCACCUUAGUAGCAAUUUUCAUGGGAGCUGUGUUUAUUGCCAUAGAUUCCUUAUUAUUGAAUCUUGAAAGAGGCUUGUCCCCUUUUUUAUUUUCUUGUCUUUCAUUGCUUUGACGAGGCGGCUGCACUCGUGGAGCUUGAAUAGGAAGCCCAUCAGUUGCAUUGGCCAUGAUGCUUAACUCUAUAUCAUGAGCACGAGUAGCUAAUUUUUCCAAUGUGUUUGGACGUAUACCCUGUAGAAUAUAGCUUAGGCUCCAAUGCAUUCCUCGGAUGCACAUUUCUAUGGCAGAGGGUUCAGACAGUCUGUCCUUGCAGUUAAGACUCAGACUUCUCCACCUAUCAAUGUAAUUGAUCAUAGGUUCAUCCUUCCAUUGACGAGUAUUAAUCAACUCCAGCAUACUGACGGUUCUUCUAGUGCUGUAGAAGCGAUUCAAGAACUCUUUUCCCAACUGUUCCCAACUAUCGAUGGAUCCCGGAGUGAGAUCAGUAUACCAAUCAAACGCGUUGCCCUUCAAGGAUCGGACAAACUGUUUGACUAGCAGGUCACCAUAGGUUCCAGCGUUAUUGCAGGUUUCGACAAAAUGGGUCACAUAUUGUUUUGGACUACCUUUCCCAUCGAACUGUUGAAAUUUAGGUUGUUGAUAUCCAACAGGCAUUGCUAGGUUGUCAAUUCUAGCAGUGCAAGGCUUGCAGUAGGUAAAACUUGACUUUGAACCACCCUCCUUUUUAUCUUUGAUCACGCCUUCAACAAGUUCCUUUAGUUGUUCAACAGGGAUAGUUUCAUCGGCAGUCACAUAUAUUUUCUUCACCUUGUCUUUACCUUUAGAUGAGGAAAUUUCAAACUCUUGGUGCUCCUUAGGGUUCGCAUGGCUUCUUUCAAGAGCGUGAUCUUUUUAGGUGAGUAGUUGAGCGAUAAGAGCAUCUUGGUCCUUGAUGUGUUUCGUCAUGGUCUCCAUCAUUUUGGACAUGUUCAAAACUUGUUCUUCGAGACUUAAAGUAUUUGUUAUCAUAGCAGGCAUUGCAGCAGAAGAAGCAGCAAAAUCUUCAAUAGAAAAUCUUGAUUGAAGAGUUUCAUGUGAAGAGGCUGAUCCAGUGCUUGAUGAAUCAUCAUCAUGCUUAGAAAAUUUGGAUUCGGAUCCAAAUUCGAGAAUAGCAAGAGCCUUCUCAAUCGAGGCAGGAACGUCUUGGAUUCCCAUCGUGAAGGAAUAGCUCAUUGGUGAUGUUGAACUGAAGACAGGAGUUGGUGCCGAUGAAGCUUCCAUGCUACUUUGGGUGGAAGUUCUCGUCAUGCUCCUUGUCACAAGACCAAUAACGCGAGUAUUGGUGGCAACAUGUGCAGUUUCCUGAACAGGUUUGACAUUAGCAGCGUUGGAACGAGCAGUCAUGGACUUGUUGUUCUUUGGUGCCAUUGGUGAUAUACGUAGUUGAUAUACUUGCAGUAUAUAAGAAAUAUAUUUGGAUUAAAUAACUCUAAAUAUUAUCCCUUUAAUAAGAAAUAAAUAUUUAGAUAUUUAUCCAAUAGACAUGUGACAUCAUAUGAUAUGGUUGGUGGAGAUAUCCCUGCAAUUUGAAUUGAUUCGGAACACCUCAACUUGACACGUGGCGAAAUAUAAUUGGCCAUUUAAUAACCAAUCUUUCCAGGUGUACAUGCCAUAUGGCAAUAUUCAAUUGGAUAAAAAUAAGUUAUAAAAAUAUUUUAUAGACCAAUGGUAAUUUUUGGAAUUUAAUUAAAAUUUCAUUGUCUACAAUAGCAACUCCAUUUAGAAAACUGGUCCACACCCUUGAAUGUGGUUUAAAUUUAAUAACACCAUUUCAUCAUUUCUGACGACUGCUUUUUCCACACCCUUGGGUGACAACUGCACAAGAAUAUUUUAACUUUACUUGGUAUGUUGAGUUUCUACAAGCGGAGCCAAAUAUCAUCCACAGAACUAUUACUCCUACUAGAAAAGCUCUUGAAGUAAAUCAUAUUUCCAUUUCCUGCUAUUUUCAUCAAUUAAACAAUCUAUAGUGGAGUCUUCCAGUAGCACAUCAAAAUGAGAUAUAAUUUUGAAAGUAGAAGGACGUGGAAUCUAUCUAUCUUUCCAAAUUUUGAUAUGAUUUCCGUUUCCAACUCGCCAUCAACUACCAAAAACACCUUUGACUGAUAAUUAAAUAGUUAAAAAAAAACUAUAUCUACCUAAUUUGUUUACUCAAUAUUUAUGUGCACUUAAACAUAAAAAGAAAAGGUCAAUCCAUAUAUUAGUGUUAUAUUUGUAAUAUUAGUUCCCUAUAUAGUAGGUUGCUGAGUUGGAUGUAUUUAUAUUCUACUGAGUAAAUGCCCAAUCUUUUCAAAACGUGGCAAAAAAAUUGUGUUUGUUUUUUUGGAAGAUUUCAUUCUUUUUCUUUUUUGGUAACAAUUAAUUUACUCUUCCUUUUCAAUUCAUUAUUUAUAGUAAAUUUCAAUCAAUCAUCAAUUACUUACCUUAUAUGCAUUUCUAUUAAUUAUACCUCUAUUUUUUUUCAAUCAACUCAUAGCUUUCCUUUUUAAUCAGGCACUCGUUAAUAUAUAUCUUAGGUGUUAAAUUAUUAGAAAUAUAAGAUUAAUUAGGGAAUUAUUUAGAAAAAAUAUAUAAAUACAAGAGAAAGUAGUAAUUGUUGUAUAUAUACAUAGUAGGUUGGGUGAAAUGUAAGUGUGUUAACGAUUGCCCAUAGGGCACCUAUUAGAAAAACUCAUCAAAAUUUGGAUGAAUUUUUAUUUUGCCUAUCAUUGCAAUCAUUACUACCAUUUUUCCUAUCAUUUAUUACUAUACCUUCAUGUUUUCUAAAUUCCAAUCAAUGUAUUACUCUCUUAUUUUUUAUAUGAUUGUGCUAAUUACAGCUUUCCUUUUACUUAAUCAAUUAGUCAAUCAAUCAAUCAACCCAUGAUUUUAAUUUUCUUUUUCAAUCACAAGAUUCUUUCUUUUAUCCAUCAUUAGGGAGAUUUACAAUUAGUCACAUUUUUUCUAUUUUGUACUUCCAUUACUUGACCUGAUUAUUAAUUCAAUCCACAUAUCUUGUAAUGUGUACAAGAAUAUGCAAUCAUAAGCACAAAUAAAUGCAAUUCUAAUAAUUUUGCAUAUAUGCUUUCAUAUUGUAUUGCAACACAUUUAAUAAUUCAUUAUAUGGUUACAAAAGAAAAAAAAAUCUAGUAUUACCUAGACCUUAGCUAGUUCCCAAUGUAUACGCUGAUACUAUACGAAAAGAUUUAAAAUCUGCUAAUGUAUAUACUGAUUGCAUAUGAAGAUUCAUCCCUAGUUUAGACCUCUUAGAUAGUUUCCAAGCAUUAUAUUCCCUUUUUUCAAUUUCUUAUUUAGUUUAAUUCCUAAAGUUAAUGAAAUGGUUUUUAAAUCUCCCCUAUAAGUGUACCUUAUUACCAUUUAUGAUUUUUUUUUUAAAUUUAAGCAACAUCUUCCAAUAUUUUAUCACCAUUUUAAAUUAGUUCAUUUUUAGGAGAUAGUAGUAUAAGUGUGGCAUUUUGUCCAAAUAACUUUGAAUAUGCAUAGACAACCCAAAAAUAAAAUGUGUUUAUCUUUGUUCGUACCUUUUGAUGAUUACAAAACAAGUGGAUAAAACUAAUAUUUUCCAAGUUUGUUUUUGGUCAGAAAAUGGAGCAAGAUAGGUUCAAAGGCCAAGCAUCUGCUAAAACAUCUGUCGGACGCACAAAUACAUCCUAUCGGCCGUCCGAUAACCAUUGUGUGAGAGCCCGUAAAUUUUCUUAUUUUCUAGGCUUUACUUUAUUUAAUUGCACGCCUUUUAUGCAUUUUCUUUAUUAGGAAAAUUUUCCAGAUAAUUUUUAUGAGCAAAUAGAGUUUUCAAGUUAUUUUUCUAGUAUAAAUGAGUUCAUGAGAAUUUUGGAGCGUAUACCGGACGUGCGACCCGCUAGUGUGGAGAAAGUUCGGUAAAAUUCGGCCAAUUGGGUUAAGUUUUGUAUACAGGGUUUAAUUUACUAGGUGCUAAGAGAUAAUUAGAGGAUACCAUAUGGAUGAGAGUUGAGGAAACAAAGGGAUAUUCAUGCAUUAAAUAGGGUGACAAGUGUCACCAUAUGAUUAAAUCUUGCAUUUUGACCACUAUUCAUUACCUUUACUAAAUACCAAAAUUUGACCACAAAUCAUCUUCAAUUUCUUGUGUCUUGGCCGAACCUUGGAGGGAAGAAAGAAGAAAAAAAAACUUCAUCUUGCACCAUUCUUUCUUGCUUCAAUCUUGGAUUCCAACCAUAAAUCUUGCAAACCUCUCCAUAUAAGUUGCUCUUUGGGUUAGAUUAAAGAUUGUGGUGGAGUGAUUUUUGGAGAAGAAAACCUAAGCUAUCAUCUUUCCUCAAGUUUCAAGGUAUAUUCCCUAGAACUUUCCUUUUACUCUUGAUAAUUGUCGAUUAAUGGAUUGGAAAGGUUAAAGGUGUAGUUUUGUGGAUAAGUUUAUGGUUUUAAGUAGGGUUAUGGUGAAUUUCAGUUUUUAUAGUAAAAUUUCUGUCCUCAUAUGAUGAUUAAUGUUUGGGCAUGAUUUGGUAGUUGUUAUGAGCAAUUUUGAGCUUGAGAAUGCUAGUUUUGCUUGCCUUCAAAGAAUUUCAGCUUGUAUAGAAAAAUUUCUAGAUUAGGAUUUAUAAUUUUCCCCAUUCUGGCUGGCACUGUUUCUCCUAUUUAGAGGCCGAAUUAGCCUUGGGUUAAAACAUGAAAGUUGUAGAGAAUGAUGUUUUAUAGUUUCCUUCAAAGUUUUAGCUCAAUCGGAGCAACGUAGCUUGUGAAAAAGACCGAAAUACCCUUGCUGCCCUGUUUCUAUCCGAACAUGCUAAUCAGCUUCUGUAAUUGGUUGUUUUGACCAGGAAUACUACUGAUUUGGUUGCCAAUGUCUUUUUAACAUUUAUACCCUUGUAUCUUAGCUUUCAAAGGGCUUUGGAAUCACUUGAAUUGGAGUUGUGUAUGAUGAGAUAUGACUGAAUGAAUCAGAACUGCCACAGUAAACUUCGAAUUGGAAAAUCUGGGGUUAUUUUGAUAACUUUUACCUAGAUACAUUGCAAACUGGACUGAGUGGCCUUCUUCAACAUUGUAGCCUUUUCUCUUAGCUUCGAAACGGCGUAAAUUUCACCCCAAUUCGAUAAGUGUAGCUCCAGUUGUGUCCAUUCCGUUAAAUGACGUCAAAACUGUCUUUUGGUUUUAAGGUUUAUAAUUGGGGCUUUUCUAGGGUUCCUUUGUUGAGCUACCAUUUGGUUGUUUUGAAAGGUAUUGUGGCUCUAAUUAAAGGUAUUUGAUAGUUCGUGAUUGGGUGUUGAUGCUUGGUUGGAAAAGUAAAGAAAGACAAGGGGAAGUGCUGUCCAAAUGUUUGCAGGAGCUUCGGUGCAAUCUCGGGAGAUUUGCUAUAUCUUGAUGUAGAAAUGUCGGAAUUGAGUUCUGUUUAUUGUAUUUUAAACUAGAUUCAUAGGGUUAUAAACCGUGUAAAUUUUAGAUCCUGUUUCUAUCUGUCCAAUUUAUGGUGAUUUUUCAAAUUUGACAGAAAUCUUGUACCUGUUCUGUCCUCCACUGGAUAAAGCAGCAACUUACGACUUGAAUUCGACUGACUUACGUUCUGAAUCUUACAAUAGUGUUUUCUGGAAAGUUAUAGCCCUUUGAAUGUAUUUUCCAACGGUAUAACUUUUAUUAAUUUUGGACUUACAAAACUUGAGAUAUGAUUUUUCAUAUAAGGUCGCGCGAAACUAGAAAAAUUCUAUUUUCCUAGUAUUGAUCUUGCUUUCAUUAUCUACUUCAAAUUUGGAAUUGGUCAGUCAUUGUAGGAAGGGUUUUGAGGUUGUUCAUGCUUUUAAGACUGCUUGUUACCUUUUCACUCCGAAGUCACCUCUUUGCUUUGCAUUAAUGGUUCUUUUGACUAGGCAUAUGGCUCGUAACCGAGUCUCACUUGCGAAUUCCAUAUUCGGUCUUGGAGUCGAGUCUUAAGUGUUUGCCUUGAUUGUUCUGGGAGGUAACGACGAGUAAAGCCACACUUGGGAAGGAAACUUUUGACAUUAUCCUUGUUUGAUCAGGUGAGUGCACCACUCCCCUGAGUUAUUGUUAAACUGGUUUUCUGUACUUGCAACAUGCUAUUUGAAUAUCUUUCCUGACUGUUUAUCUUGUAUGAGACGAGGGUGUAGUUUAUCACACUCGUUCUCUUGCCUGUACUGAACAAACUGGAAUCUAUUACUUGUACUUGUUAUGUAUUUGAACUUGUUACUUGCACUUGUUAUGCGAUCGUUUGAAAGUGUGUCCACGAUCGUCCUGUUAAACCUGAGCUCAACCUCAUGGGGAGUUAAUUAAAUCGAGCCAUGCAAGGGCUUGGUCGAGAAAAUUGACAAUCCGUGGGUGCCUGUUUUUAUGGAAUCUUUGAGUAUUGAGACUCUUGAUUCCGGUAUACUCGAGUAUUACCAUUCCUGUUUCUAUUUGGCGUUCGGACCCGGUAAGGGGGUAUGAAUGGUGAACGGGAUUCGGCGUUAAAGCGGUGUUCUACUGGACUGGUUUUCUUUAGUUGAAAGUUGACGGAGGGUCAACGUAGUCGGAUGAAGUACUGUAACGGGAAAUUGGCUCCUGAGAGCCAUCUGUAUCCUUUCUAUCUAAGUUGUUUACAUAUCUCCUUAUUUGGUACACUUAUGUGAUUAAUUGAGCAUGAAGUUCCUUGGUCCUUGACUGUUAUUAUUUUUGGUACCUCAUUGAGCUUAUAGCUCACCCCGUUUUGUUAUCAUUGUUUUCCUUACAGGAAAAUCUUUUGGGAACAAUGAUGUUUGGAAGCAUGAGUUGAGCUAGAUAUAUAUUCUUUUGUAUAGCUCCUCAAUAGAUAGAAACCUUGAAUGUAUUUCGAUCCAACAACUCCCUUUUGAUUUGUAAAUUUGCAAUCAUGUAUUUAUAUAAUAUAUAAAAGUGUUUAAUCAUGUACAUGUGUUACCCCGCUCGAAUGUGUUCAUUCUUUAUGGCUACGUGGAGUUUAAUGAAAUUACUGAGGUUUCGGACGAGUAUAGUAUCCAAGUGUGAAAAGGAAAAAAAAAAUCGGCAGGGAUUUCGACAAUAUUAUGGGUUGGCAAGUUACAUUUAACUUGGAGGUUUCCCAAUCGUUCGUUUUCUUUGGUUUCUAUCACGCGUGCUAUAGAGUUGGGAGUGAUUUGACCCCGUAGUCCCGGCGAGAGUUGGGCAGGCGGUCCACCGAACCCUUUGGUUCGCCUUAGGGGGAGGUGGGGCUGUCACAGGUGGUAUCAGAGCUGCUUCGCGUGGUCUCUGCGCGGAGUGAGUUUGACCAAGUGGUGUUAUGGUCCCUAUUCCGUGAAUGUGUACGAAUGUUUAAGUGCUCUUUUGAGCAUAACCUUUGGAUCAUGAAAUGUUAUAGGUUUUAAACCUUUAUCAUGGUACUUGGAGACAAUAGAUCUGUAGGUCUGGUAAGAAUCUCGAUUGUAGAUGAAUUACUCUUGGGACUGGCCAGCCCGAGUUGUGAAUUAUCUUAUUUUGGGAUUCUUGUGCCCGACUACUAAAUAAAUGACUUGGGCGGACUAGAAAUUCGAUUCUAUGGAACGUCAUGUGAUGUGUUAGGGUUUCAUUACGAAUGAUUAACCAUGACUAAGAUAUAAAUUCUAUAUAACCGUUUUUAGUUGGUUACUCUUGUACCAUUGGCUUAGUUAGUAUCACGAAGGAUGUUUCCUUUUGCUUGUAUCUAAUUGACUGCUACUGUGUGAUCUGUUUGUGUUAGAUGUGUUAUAUGUAUAUUGCCUACUUUUAUCACUUGCACCUGCAUACUUUGGUUUUAAUACCGUAUUCGUGGUCCAACCCUAGAUUGGUUAAGCCAUAUGGAAGGCACCCGUAGUGGACGUGGUCGUGAUCGCUGAAUUAGGCAACCCACGACUGAAGGAGAUAUUAGGGGAACUACGUCUGAACCAAACUCUGAACCUAGGGUUGAUCCGAACGUACAAGUGGCCGCAGCCAUUCAACGAAUGACCGACCUUUUGGCUCACAUAGUAGAACAUCAAGGUCAACAUCCUAUUCAUCAGCCGAAAAAUCCUGGUAAUCAUACCGAGGGUGAGGAUAGAGCCCUCGAACGAUUUCAGAAGUUCUCCCCACCGCAAUUUCUUGGAGGACCAGACCCCGACGUGGGCGAGAGGUGGUUAGAGAAGUUGAUUGAUAUCUUUGCUGCGCUACACUGCACUGAGGAGCGACAGGUGACAUUUGUCGUCUUCUAACUGGAGGGAGCGGCCCGAUCUUGGUGGAACAUCAUAAGACUGAAAUGGGAAAGAGAACAAACCCCAAGGACGUGGGUGAAUUUCAUGAGAGAAUUCAACACGAAGUAUAUUCCACCCCUGAUCCAGGAAAAGAAGGAAGAUGAGUUUAUUCGAUUUCGCCAGGGAACUCAAACCGUUGCCGAAUAUGAAAACCAGUUCACCAGGUUGUCCAAGUUCGCUCCCGAGCUAAUCGUGACUGAGCAAAGGAGGAUAAGGCGUUUCGUCCAAAGAUUAAACGUUGAGAUUCAGAAGGACUUGGCCGUGGCCCAACUUAAUACUUUUAGUGAUGCGGUGGAGAAAGCUCAACGAGUUGAAAGUGCGAGGUUACAAGUUAAGAAUUUUCAAGUCAAGAAAAGGGGAUUUCCUGGAAGCCAUUCGGAGCAAGGAGAUAAAAGUACGCCUCCUAAGAUUGGAAGGGAAAAUGGAGGAGUACAACUACCUGGGAUGUCAAGUGGUGCCUCACAAAAAGGCUCAGUCUCCGCUUCCCGUAGUCCGUGCGGGUACUGUGGGAAGCCAAAUCACACGGAGGAUGUCUGCUGGAAGAAAGGAAGAAAAUGUCUGCGUUGUGGGAGCGCAGAUCAUCAAAUUGCAAAUUGCUCAGGCCAAACUCGAGAAGGGAGUAGGAGGCAACAGCCAACCACGACCAACCCUGACCAGUCGAAGGAGGAAAAGAAUGGAUCGAAAGUGUCAGUUCGGGUGUACUCCUUAGAACAACAUCAAGUUUCUGACCCAUUUGAGGACGUGGAAGAUAAGAUUCUGGUAUUCCACCGUUUGCUCACUGUUUGCAAUUUGGGAAGGAAGAAUUCAAUGAACAUGAAGGGAUACUGAUUGCGAUUGGUUAGCUAAGUAUGAUACUCAAUUUGACUGCGAGAAGGAAGUAGUAAAUUUUUGUAUCCCGAAUAAGGCAAUGAGAAGGAAUUUCGAGGACGAAAUUCUUUUAAGAGGGAGAGAGUGUGAGAGCCCGUAAAUUUUCUUAUUUUCUAGGCUUUACUUUAUUUAAUUGCACGCCUUUUAUGCAUUUUCUUUAUUAGAAAAAUUUUUCAGAUAAUUUUUAUGAGCAAAUAGAGUUUUCAAGUUAUUUUUCUAGUAUAAAUGAGUUCAUGAGAAUUUUGGAGCGUAUACCGGACGUGGGACCCGCUAGUUUGGAAAGUUCGGUAAAAAUUCGGCCAAUUGGGUUAAGUUUUGUAUACAGGGUUUAAUUUACUAGGUGCUAAGAGAUAAUUAGAGGAUACCAUAUGGAUGAGAGUUGAGGAAACAAAGGGAUAUUCAUGCAUUAAAUAGGGUGACAAGUGUCACCAUAUGAUUAAAUCUUGCAUUUUGACCACUAUUCAUUACCUUUACUAAAUACCAAAAUUUGACCACAAAUCAUCUUCAAUUUCUUGUGUCUUGGCCGAACCUUGGAAGGAAGAAAGAAGAAAAAAAAAAACUUCAUCUUGCACCAUUCUUUCUUGCUUCAAUCUUGGAUUCCAACCAUAAAUCUUGCAAACCUCUCCAUAUAAGUUGCUCUUUGGGGUAGAUUCAAGAUUGUGGUGGAGUGAUUUUUGGAGAAGAAAACCUAAGUUAUCAUCUUUCCUCAAGUUUCAAGGUAAAUUCCCUAAAACUUUCCUUUUACUCUUGAUAAUUGUCAAUUAAUGGAUUGGAAAGGUUAAAGGUGUAGUUUUGUGGAUAAGUUUAUGGUUUUAAGUAGGGUUAUGGUGAAUUUCAGUUUUUAUAGUAAAAUUUCUGUCCUCGUAUGAUGAUUAACGUUUGGGCAUGAUUUGGUAGUUGUUAUGAGCAAUUUUGAGCUUGAGAAUGCUAGUUUUGCUUGCCUUCAAAGAAUUUCAGCUUGUAUAGAAAAAUUUCUAGAUUAGGAUUUACAAUUUUCUCCAUUCUAGCUGGCACUGUUUCUCAUAUUUAGAGGCCGAAUUAGCCUUGGGUUAAAACAUGAAAGUUGUAGAGAAUGAUGUUUUAUAGUUUCCUUCAAAGUUUUAGCUCAAUCGGAGCAACGUAGCUUGUGAAAAAGACCAAAAUACCCUUGCUGCCCUGUUUCUAUCCGAACAUGCUAAUCAGCUUCUGUAAUUGGUUGUUUUGACCAGGAAUACUACUGAUUUGGUUGCCAAUGUCUUUUUAACAUUUAUACCCUUGUAUCUUAGCUUUCAAAGGGCUUUGGAAUCACUUGAAUUGGAGUUGUGUAUGAUGAGAUAUGACUGAAUGAAUCAGAACUGCCACAGUAAACUUCGAAUUGGAAAAUCUGGGGUUAUUUUGAUAACGUUUACCUAGAUACAUUGCAAACUGGACUGAGUGGCCUUCUUCAACAUUGUAGCCUUUUCUCUUAGCUUCGAAAUGGUGUAAAUUUCACCCCAAUCCGAUAAGUGUAGCUCCAGUUUUGUCCAUUCCGUUAAAUGACGUCAAAACUAUCUUUUGGUUUUAAGGUUUAUAAUUGGGGCUUUUCUAGGGUUCCUUUGUUGAGCUACCAUUUGGUUGUUUUGAAAGGUAUUGUGGCUCUAAUUAAAGGUAUUUGAUAGUUCGUGAUUGGGUGUUGAUGCUUGGUUGGAAAAGUAAAGAAAGACAAGGGGAAGUGCUGUCCAAAUGUUUGCAGGAGCUUCGGUGCAAUCUCGGGAGAUUUGCUAUAUCUUGAUGUAGAAAUGUCGGAAUUGAGUUCUGUUUAUUGCAUUUUAAACUAGAUUCAUAGGGUUAUAAACCAUGUAAAUUUUAGAUCCUGUUUCUGUCUGUCCAAUUUAUGGUGAUUUUUCAAAUUUGACAGAAAUCUUGUACCUGUUCUGUCCUCCACUGGAUAAAGCAGCAACUUGCGACUUGAAUUCGACUGACUUACGUUCUGAAUCUUACAAUAGUGUUUUCUGGAAAUUUAUAGCCCUUUGAAUGUAUUUUCCAACGGUAUAACUUUUAUUACUUUUGGACUUACAAAACUUGAGAUAUGAUUUUUCAUAUAAGGUCGCGCGGAACUGGAAAAAUUCUGUUUUCCUAGUAUUGAUCUUGCUUUCAUUAUCUACUUCAAAUUUGGAAUUGGUCAGUCAUUGUAGGAAGGGCUUUGAGGUUGUUCAUGCUUUUAAGACUACUUGUUACCUUUUCACUCCGAAGUCACCUCUUUGCUUUGCAUUAAUGAUUCUUUUGACUAGGCAUAUGGCUCGUAACCGAGUCUCACUUGCGAAUUCCAUACUCGGUCUUGGAGUCGAGUUUUAAGUGUUUGCCUUGAUUGUUCUAGGAGGUAACGACGAGUAAAGCCACACUUGGGAAGGAAACUUUUGACAUUAUCCUUGUUUGAUCAGGUGAGUGCACCACUCCCCUGAGUUACUGCUAAACUGGUUUUCUGUACUUGCAACAUGCUAUUUGAAUAUCUUUCCUGACUGUUUAUCUUGUAUGAGACGAGAGUGUAGUUUAUCACACUCGUUCUCUUGCCUGUACUGAACAAACUAGAAUCUAUUAUUUGUACUUGUUAUGUACUUGAACUUGUUACUUGCACUUGUUAUGGGAUCGUUUGGAAGUGUGUACACGAUCGUCCUGUUAAACUUGAUCGUCCUGUUAAACCUGAGCUCAACCUCAUGGGGAGUUAAUUAAAUCGAGCCAUGCAAGGGUUUGGUCGAGAAAAUUGAUAAUCCGUGGGUGCCUGUUUUUAUGGAAUCUUUGAGUAUUGAGACUCUUGAUUCCGGUAUACUCGAGUAUUACCAUUCCUGUUUCUAUUUGGUGUUCGGGUCCGGUAAGGGGGUAUGAAUGGUGAACGGGAUUCGGCGUUAAAGCGGUGUUCUACUGGACUAGUUUUCUUUAGUUGAAAGUUGACGGAGGGUCAACGUAGUCGGAUCAAGUACUGCAACGGGAAAUUGGCUCUUGAGAGCCAUCUGUAUCCUUUCUAUCUAAGUUGUUUACAUAUCUCCUUAUUUGGUACACUUAUAUGAUUAAUUGAGCAUGAAGUUCCUUGGUCCUUGACUGUUAUUAUUUUUGGUAUCUCAUUGAGCUUAUAACUCACCCCGUUUUGUUAUCAUUGUUUUCCUUACAGGAAAAUCUUUUGGGAACAAUGAUGUUUGGAAGCAUGAGUUGAGCUAGAUAUAUAUUCUUUUGUAUAGCUCCUCAAUAGAUAGAAACCUUGAAUGUAUUUCGAUCCAACAACUCCCUUUUGAUUUGUAAAUUUGCAAUCAUGUAUUUAUAUAUAUAUAUAUAAAAGUGUUUAAUCAUGUACAUGUGUUACCCCGCUCGAAUGUGUUCAUUCUUUAUGGCUACGUGGAGUUUAAUGAAAUUCUGAGGUUUCGGACGAGUAUAGUAUCCAAGUGUGAAAAGAAAAAAAAAAUCGGCAGGGAUUUCGACAAUAUUUUGGGUUGGCAAGUUACAUUUAACUUGGAGGUUUCCCAAUCGUUCAUUUUCUUUGGUUUCUAUCACGCGUGCUAUAGAGUUGGGAGUGAUUUGACCCCGUAGUCCCGGCGAGAGUUGGGCAAGCGAUCCGCCGAACCCUUUGGUUCGCCUUAGGGGGAGGUGGGGCUGUCACACGUUGAGUAUCUUCGGACGCGCAAAAAACCUAUCCUCGGACGUCCGACACUGAUAAGUCAGUACUUCUAAGAUCUCUAACCUCGAUCGGAAGCACAAUACCUGAGCACCGGACGUCCAACAAUCGUUGCAACACUUCGGACGACAAGCAUUAGAAGCACCGGACGUCCGAAAGAAUUAAUGAAGGAUUCCAAGUUUUACAUCAUAUGGUCGGACGCAUAUUCUGAUGCUGCCGGACGUCUUAAAGAUUUCAAGAAAAUUUCUUGAACUCACUACCUGCGUUCGGACGCACAAAACCAGCCUACCGGACGUUUUUACACUUCUAACGGCUAGUUGACUCUUCAGCUGCCUUGUGUCCGUUAGUGGCAUUAAUUGAAGAUGUUUUUGGUCUAUUAUAAAUAAGAUAAAAGUCAACCGCCAAAAGUAUUGAUACACAUUAAGUCUACAUCAGAUCUUGAGUGAUUCAAGCAUAAGAAUACUCCAAAAAGAAGAUUUGUACUCUUAGUUGUGUGAUCUUCAUUUAACUUUUCAAGUGUGAUUCAAUUUUUUCAAUAGUGUAACUUUGUGAGGGUUAUUCGAGUGAUUGUAAAACUUCCUUGCUUGAUCAAGUGUAUCUUGAGGCAAGGAGGAAGUGAUCCUUCCCGUGUACACAAGAGAUUGGUUGUAUGUUGAAUUAACUUGAAGGAGCUUACAAUAUAAAGGGAUAUUCAAACUCUAGUCGAGUUUGAGAUUUGGUUUGCUAUUCCAUCUUUUUAUUCACUGUUUUCCAACAUUAACUGUUUAUCUCUUCUGUUCUAAAUUACUUUCACUUUAUCAUAAAUUGUUCCUUGGUCUCGUUCUUUAGAAAAAUAGGGCUAGUUCAGAAAAAAAGUGAUUUAUAUUUUGGCUAGCUUUUAAAUCACCUAAUUCACCCCCCUCUUAGGUUGUUUUCGAUCCUUAUAAUUGAUAUCAGAGCUUGGUUUCCUUAAGAUUAAGCUCAAUCGGCUUAGGAGUAAAUAUGACAACCAACAAUGCCAUGUUCUUUGAGGGACAAUCAGUAACUAGACCUCCUAUAUUCAAUGGUUCAAACUAUGUGAGUUGGAAGGAAAUGAUGAUUAUUUUCUUACAAUCUAUUGAUAUUGAGCUAUGGUUUAUUGUCAAUGAAAGUCCGUUUGAUGCCUCUACUAUUGAUGCAAAUACAAACAGGCCGAGACCAAAAACAAGAAGGAAACUAAUUGCUGAAGAUAGAACUCAUCUCACUCUGAAUGCCAAGGCGAUGAAUGUACUGUACAGUGCUUUAGACUCAAACAAAUCUGUUAGAGUCAAGGGUUGCAAAUCUGCAAAAGAAAUCUGGGAUAAAUUUUGAGAAAUACACGAAAGAAGUGAAAAUAUGAGAGAACAGAAGAAGUCCAUUCUGGUCACGAAGUAUGAAUCCUUUAAGAUGGAACCUCACGAAAACAUCGAUAAGAUGUAUUGCAGAUUCAAUGAUCUUAUUAAGGAUCUACAAGUUCUUGAGAAAGAUUACUCUCUAGGUGAGAAAAACAGAAAAAUUCUGAAUGCUCUAUCAAAGGAUUGAGAGAGUAAAGUGACUGCCAUUGAGGAAGCCAAAGAUCUGAACACUUUAUCUAUUGAAUCCCUUAUAAAUUCACUAACCUCUUAUGAGCUAAAACUCAAGUCUAAGGUGCAGGAAGAAGAAAACACAAGAGUUAGAAAGAGCAUUGCUCUGAAAACUUCACAAGAAGAAGAUGAUACAAUCUCUCUGGAUGGAGAUGACAUGGAAGGUGAUGAUAGUGACAUUGCACUCAUCACAUGAGGCUUCAAAAGAAUACUCAACAAGAGAAGAUUCAGAAAAGGAGGACAUAGCAAUUCCUUUCCAAAUCAGUCCAACAACUUCAGAAAUAAAGGAAAGCUGGAAUUCAACAAAAAGCAAACUGAUAAGUGCUUUGAAUGCUGCCAACUUGGUCAUUAUGCAAAUGAAUGUCCAAUGAAGAAAAAGAAGGAGAACAAGAGUGAACGAAAACCAAAAUUCAACAAUUUCCAAAUCACCUGGAAUGACUGUCGCGCCCCACUUUUCGAUUGAAUUGCGUGAGUGAUGUGUUGUGUGUGUGAGUAGUGGAAUGUGAACGUGUGUAAAUGAAAAGUAAAAGGCCAUGGGACUUUGGAAAGCGACGAUUUGGCCAAAUGAAAUUUAAAAAGGGUUUUUAAAUAUAAAAACGGAGUCGCCACUUGGUAUAGAUUUGGGGUGUACCAAGUCACCCAAAAAGUGUUUUUUAAAGACAAAGUAGUAAAACCCUUUUUAAAACGACUCCUAGUCCACGUAAGCCAAAGAAAAAGGUUCGGGGGUCACGUUUGACAAAGGGGAAGGCAAGGAUAGAAUCCAAGGCACCCCUUUGACCUAGGCAAGGCUAGUUGCGCGACUUAACCCUACCUUUCCUAAUUUUCUACCCAAUAUAUGUUCGCACGUUGGAUAUGACUAUAUGAAUGCAAAACGGAAAGAAAAAUGCAAUCCUAAGUUCUACGAUGUCUCUCGUGAGGCUUUUGGUCCCAAACCACAUGAAUUGUGGCGGCCAACAAAGGAAAACCCCAUAGAGGUCGAUUAAUGCAAAUGAGACUCAAGUGUGCAAGUGUGAAAGUGUAUGAAAGAAAUUAAAAAUCCAAGUGUUUGUGUGCAAGUGUAUGAAAAGGUGCACGUGUGCAAUUGUAUGAAAAUUCCAAGUGUUCGUGUGCAAGUGUAUGAAAUAUAGUGAUAAGUGCAUAUAGGUGUGAGUGAAUGCAAUUUUGUGAAGUAGAAAAAAAAAUGAACAAUAAGGAAAGGAAAAUGUGAAUUGAAAAGAAUGAGUGAGUGAUAAAUGAGAAUGAAUGAACCUAAGGGAAUGCAUCAGGUCGGGUAUGGGAAUGACUCCUAACUUGUCGACUUCGAUUUUCCCUUUGAUUAGAAGGCAAAACUAGCGUGCUAAGGCUAUCGAGUAGCCACACUCGCUCGUUUCCCUUAUCAGAAGGGGACCCUCAAGCAAAUGGACCCUACAACUAUCAUGAUAUGCAAAAAUCCUAAAAUGAAGGGAAAGGGGGUUCGAGGAGCAUGCCAAGUGAUAAAACUAAGAAAAAUGCAUGAUAUGUGGUGAACAAGCAAAAGAUAUGCUAAUGAGGGGAAAUCCCUAAGGGUCUAGCGUUGGACUAGCCCAUUCUAUGAAUUCCGACUAGCGUUGGACUAGCGGAAACGUACAUUCAUCCAUUCCAUUCAUUCAUGGCUAUGAAAGCAAGUAGACAUGCCAAAAUAUUCGUAAACACAUAGCACAUAGCAUUUAGCAUGCUCGACUAGAUGCAAGAGCCUAAUAAAGCAAUUAAACAUGUAGCAACAAAAACAAGCAACCAGGGGGAAGGGGAAAUGGACCAGAUGCUCUCCGAGCACUAUCUAUUACAAGCCAAGAGGUGUACACAUACCCCAUAAAAGCAUAAAAGGGAAAGGGUGAAUGGACCAGAUGCUCUCCGAGCACUAUCUAUUACAAGCCAAGAGGUGUACACAUACCCCAUAAAAACUUAAAUAAAAGUAAAAAGCAAGUAAAUGCACGCAGGGAGGUAAGGAAAGCGAAGUAGACAUGCAUAUUCACAUAACACGUAGGAGCACGUAGGGUCAAAUGAAGUGCAAAUGAGGGAUAGAGUGUACCUCCCUUGAAGCGACGCCCUAACGUAGUGAAAUUACUAAUUUACCCUCCAAAAUAAUAAACAGGUCAAGGUACCACUUAAAUUAUCGAAUAAUCACACGAAACAACCAUUAAACACAAACAAAUGGAAAUUGAGCAUGAAACGAAAAUUAAAUAUGGAAUAGACCAUGCAUGUGCAAGCAAAACUCGGUCUCAAAUAAAAAGCCUCAAGAAUCUAAAAUGGAGUGCUAAAUUGAAAUGCUGUGAGUGGAAUCUAUCGCCAUCAAGUGCAAAAAAUCACGAAAGGAAGAAAUGGAAAAUUAUUAAAGUUUUAGAAACAAGAUUAACUAAGCAGAAUUUAAAUCAAACAAAAUCAAGACCACCAAUGCUUCCAAGCUACCAAACUUUCAUGAUUUGAUCCUAGAAUUCUAUUAGCAUUGUCCACAAUUCACAUGAAAAAACAUAUCAAGGCAUAAUUACACAAAAGAGAUCCAAUUGCGAAAAUUAAUCAACCAUGCAAGCCCAAUCAAAAUGUUCAAGGAAUUUUAAAAGGUCAAAUAGCAAAGAAAAAGUCAAGCCAUGGUUCCAAUUGCAACUAUCCUAGGAUCUAAUUGCAAGAAAUUUGAAUGUAAUUGGGCCUUAGUAGACCAAGAGGAGAUUUGGGGGAUCAAAGUCCAAUUUGUAGAAAUUACUUCAUGCAUAAGCAUGCAAUCACGUUGCUUUCUUUUUUAAACAAUGCUUCUGCAAUUCUCUUCGCUAAUCUUUGCAAUCUGCUAUGCCUUAUUACCAAAACGUUACCAACAAAAACAGCCACACUUUUGAGUCAAAUGAUCAUAGUCAUCCCCCCAUUCAUCAACCAAACCACAUACCAUGCUUUUAUGACAGAAUCAAGGCAGAAAAAACUGGAAUGAUAGCUGCCAAAAACCAAAGAGAUAACAGCAAAAAGAAAGAAACAAAGUGCAGCAAGAGUCUUCAGCCACCUUAAGGUUCGCUAGCAGCCUGGAGAACUUACGAUGGACUCCAGAAAACCACCCUAACAUCAUGAAUUAAACAUGCAAGCCAAUAACCUAUUCAAAGUUCAUUCCAGAUUCAUUCGAGAUUCCCUACUGCAAUCUUCUGGUUUCAUUAUGCAAGCCAAAUCAGCAAGUUACCAAGGUUUCAACUACUUGUUGCGGGUUUGAAGCCAAGCAUCUAAGUUAACCCAACAGCAAACGAAAGGGAAGAAAUGCAGCAAGGAACGCCAGAGGUUUCAUGCAAACGAAACUGAUCAUCAACGAUAUAAGCAAACAGCAAAACAGCAAUAGAGGAAAAGGAAAAAUGUGUCGCGAGUUUCUGCAAUUUUUUUUAGCCGCGGCUUUCCUUCCCUUUCAUCAUGCAAGUGAGUUCAACUUCCAAAAUUUUAACUACUGACUAAAUGAAACGCAGACCCUUGUUGCAGAAUUGAAACCAAACAUUUAAAUGGCCCAAUAGCAAAAGAAAAAGGAAUUUUUCAUGCAAGUUUCAUGCAAAGAAUGAGCUUCCUGCAACCGAGAGAUGCUGCAAUUUUUAUUCUGUUAAACCACUAUUCCAUCAGCAAAUUACACUCAAUUCAAAACUCCACCUUGACCUUAACAACAAAAUCACCAAACUCAAAGUCCAAAUAAACUAAACGACUUAGCAAGAGGAUAGGCAAUUCCAGAAAUUUCUGCUAUCGCUGUCAUGAACAACAAAGCAUCAUUUUUUGAUCACAAAUGCAAACACAACCCAUUUAAACAUGGUAGAAUGUGCACUAGACAUUCAAUGAAAGAACAUCAGCCACAAAUGGCCAACUACAUUAUCUGAAUAUGCGCUUGCAAACAUAAAAGACAGCCAAAGCAACGUGAGGAUUUACAGCAAUGUACUUCGCUAGGAGCUAAGUGCAAAGAAACAACCAAAGCUGUAAACUUUCUGCAAUUUUUCCUUUCGGCUAAGACACAGUCACGCAAGACACCAAUUCAUUAACCAAACUUCAGAAUUUUCAUUACCCAAAUAAGAACCAUCAAUCAUAUUGAAUCCAAAACAGAACCAGUAAACAGCAGAGGAAUGCAAACAACCGACUAAAGCAAGCAGCUUUCAACUAUAAAAAGGUGAAUACAAUACCUUGACCAAAGAAUGGAACGUGUGAUGACCAAGAAAAGGCUCAAAUGAUUCUUUUGGAUGCUCGAAAGAAAUGUCAGACGAUGCUGAAUGGAAGCCCAGUCGAUUCCUUCCUGCAACUUCCAGCCGAGGAUCCUUCUUGCUCCUUCCCAGUUUUCUCUUUCUUUUCCCGUAAGAUUUUUCUAUCCCAGCCGAAGAUCCCUCUUGCUUUCUCUACAUAGCUUUCUUGUUCUGUUCUCCUUCUAUUCUCCUUCUACCUAGCCCAGCCGCCAACUCUAUUCCCCCUCCACAACUUUCCAGCCGUCCGAAACCUCCCUCUCUCUCGCUUCAGUUCUUCUUUCACCUCCUCCGAGAGCCUCUCCCUUUUUUCCCUUUAAUCAGCCGCCCCCUCACUCUUCUGUAUGCCCCCUCUCUUUCAGUCUUUCUUUCACUCCUUCUCAACCUCUCCAAACCCCUAGCCGUUUCUUUUCUGGUUCCUUUCUACCUCUUAAGCCGCCGCCAACUUUCCCUUGGUAGGUUUCUUUUCUUUUGCUUGUGUUUCUCUCUUCCGAAUCUCCCCUGUUUGCGGCUGCCAAUCCCUUCUAUUUAUAUCAAGCACUCAACCCUAAAAACCUCAGCCACUUCCUCUGAAAUUUGCAGCUAAGGAGCUCCCCAAAGUUCACUUGCAAGCUGCGGCAAAAACGCAGCCUUCAUGCUGCGCGUUUUCACUUUUCCUUUUUUUUUUUUAACUUUCAACUUAAUAAAUACAGAAAUGAUAAAAUAUAAAUAAUAAUAAAAACAAAUUGACAAAAACCAAGUAAUAAUAAUAAUAAUAAUAAUGAAAAUAAUUUAAAAAACUAAACAACUAAAAACAACAAAAAUGGCCAUUUUUCCAUCUUUUUUGUUUCAUUUUUCAUUUUUUCAUUUUUUCCAAGAAAGCAUUGAAUUUAAAUUACAAACGACUAAAUCAUAUUUUUUGAAUGCUUUUUCUUUUCCCUUUUCAACAAAUUCUAUGAUAAAACUUAAAAAUAAAAAAUAAAACUGGAAACUAAAAACUAAAAAAUGAACACGACAAAUAAAAAACUAAAAAAUGAAAUUACACCAAAAAUUUGGUGUCUACAAUGACUGCAAUUCAGAAGGAGAAGUAGAGGAAGAAGAGGAAUCCGCCCAAGUGGCUUUCAUGGGCAUUGAAGAUGAAGAGGUAACCCAAUGUAACUCUCAAACUGAUAGUGAUAGUGAGUAUGAUGUUGAUAUUAAUUCUUUCCUAAAAAAAAUGCAUAACAGCUUAAAAGAAUUCUAUGUUAGAAACAAGGAAUUAAAACAGAAAAUUAGUUUUCUAAUACAAGAUAAUGCAAAUCUUUUUCGACAAAACAAGUGUCUUACGCAUGAAAAUGAGAACCUGAAAAGGAUUGAAACUGAUGUGCUUGCUGAACUUAACAAAAAGACAAAUCUCUGUGACAUGCUCAGAAGUGAACAAUGCAGCCUAAAAAAAAGGAUGGAUGAUUUAUGUCAAUUGUUACAACAUAUGAAACAGAACCGCCUUCAAAAGAAUGACACUGAACCUCACCUUAACACUCAUCGAAAAGAUUGAAUUAUAGUAAAAAUGAGUUUACUGUCUACAAGAGAAGGCAAGUCAGAUUCAUUAAACCUGUUCAUUUGAUUGAUCCAAUGACUGUAUGCAACUUUUAUUGUCAAUUUGGUCACAUGAAUAGCAACUGUUAUGUUAAGAAAAACAUGAGAAAUGGAAUGAGAUGCAUGUGGGUUGUUAGACAUAAUGCUAACCAUGAAGGACCCAAAAAGUAAUGGGUACCAAACAUUAUAUUGUGGACUACUGUGUAGGUGAACCUGGUGAACAUUGUUAAAGAAUCAAAAUGGUUCAUAGAUAGUGGAUGCUCAAGACAUAUGACUGGUGAUGCAUCACAGUUCAUCAAGCUCAAGCCAAAAACAAGUGGAAAGGUUACUUUUGGAGAUGAUAAUAAAGCCAAAACUGUUGGAAUUGGUGAUGUUGGUAAGAAUGGUCAAACUUUUGUUCAUAAUGUUCUUUUAGUCGACAACCUGAGUUACAAUUUGUUGAGUGUUAGUCAAUUAUGUGAUAGGAACCUGCUCGUGUUAUUUAAGAAACAUCAAUGCCUUGUUCUUGACUCAAAGUUUAACAUUAUUUUCAAAGGAAAAAGAGUUAAUGAUAUUUAUGUGGUGAUUCUUGAAAAAGUUGAUGCUUCCAGCCUUAGUUGUCUCAAAGUAGCAAAUGAGGAUCCCUGGUUAUGGCACAGAAGGCUUUGUCACUUCAAUAUGGAUUUGCUAAAAGAGGUUUCCAAAAAGGACCUGGUUAGAGGGAUUCCAAAACUCAAUUUUUGUAAAGAUCGCAUCUGUGAUGCUUGCCAAUUUGAAAAACAAGUCAAGGUAUCUUUUAAACCAAAAAAAUGUGUUUCUAUCUCAAAACCCUUAGAACUCCUACAUCUUAAUCUUUUUGGUCCAACUCAAACCACAAGCCUUGGUGGCAAGAGAUUCUGUUUUGUUGUUGUUGAUGACUAUUCUAGAUACACUUGGGUGAUGUUUCUUGCACAUAAAGAUGAUGAUUUCAAAAACUUUGUUUCCCUAUUUGCCAAGGUUCAAAAUCUGAUUGGUUUGAAAAUCAUAAAAAUAAGAAGUGACAAUGGCACAAAAUUUCAUUUUUGUGAAUUUCCAGAAUUUUGUGACAACAAUGGCAUUACACAUGAGUUUUCUAUUGCUAGAGUACUUCAGCAAAAUGGAGUGGUUGAGAGGAAAAAUAGAACUCUUCAAGAAGCUGCUAAAACCAUGCUUAGUGAAUGCAAUUUACCAAAGUACUUUUGGGCUGAAACUAUAAACACUGCAUGCUAUACCAUGAAUAGAGUUCUCUUAAGACCAAUCUUGAACAAGACUUCAUAUGAGCUGUUUUUGGUUGCAAAUGCUUCAUUCUGAACAUCAAGGAGCAUCUUGGUAAGUUUGAUAAAAAAUCUGAUGAGGGGAUCUUCUUGGGAUAUUGUGAAAAUAAGAGAGGCUUUAGAGUUUAUAAUCGUAGAACUCUGGUUAUAGAAGAAGCUAUACAUAUCACUUUUGAUGAAUCUAAUGGUGACACUUCCAUGAGUUGUGGUGAAGAUGAUGAUGCAGGUGUUCGAGAAGAAUUAAAGAAGCUAACAAUUAGCAAUCAAGGCACAGCUCCAUCAGAAAAUGAUUCAAAGGAAGAUGAAAAUCAAGACAGUCCUACUAGAGAAGACAAUGACAGUGACACUGCGAUUCCUAAUGAUCUUCCAAGAGUCUGAAAAUUCGUCCAAAAUCAUCCUAAGGAACUUAUCAUUGGGGAUCCAUCUGAAAAUGUCAGAACACGUUCCUCCUCUAGACAAUUAAUAGAUAACUUUGCAUUGGUCUCACAUUUUGAGCCCAAAAAUGUUGUUGAUGCAUUGAAUGAUGAGAGCUGGAUUUUGGCAAUGGAAGAGGAGUUAAAUCAAUUUGAAAGAAAUAAGGUUUGGACAUUAGUUGCUAGACCACAAGAUCAUCCUAUUAUUGGCACUAAAUGGGUUUUUAGAAACAAAAUGAAUGACAAAGUUGAGAUAGUUAGAAAUAAGGCCAGAUUGGUAGUUAAGGGUUACACUCAAGAAGAAGGAAUAGAUUUUGAUGAAUCAUUUGCACCCGUAGCUAGGUUAGAAUCUGUUAGAAUGUUUUUAGCUUUUGCAUGUUUCAAAAAUUUUAAAUUAUUUCAAAUGGAUGUUAAAAGUGUUUUCCUAAAUGGUUUUAUAGAUCAAGAAGUUUAUGUUGAUCAGCCCCCUGGUUUUGAAAAUGAGAAUUAUCCAAACCAUAUUUUUAAACUCUCAAAAGCUUUAUAUGGAUUAAAACAAGCUCCAAGAGCAUGAUAUGAACGCUUGAGUGGUUUUUUGAUUGAAAAUGGGUUCAAAAGAGGCAUAGUAGAUAUUACUCUUUUCACUAAACAAAAUUCACGUGAUCUUCUAAUUGUUCAAAUAUAUGUGGAUGAUAUUAUUUUUGGUGCUACUAAUGAGAAUUUGUGCAAGGAAUUUUUCAAAAUUAUGCAAAAAGAGUUUGAAAUGAGCAUGAUGGGAGAAUUAAAUUUCUUCCUUGGACUCCAAGUGGUUUAAACCAGAGAAGGAACGUUUAUCAAUCAAACAAAAUACACCAAAGAGCUGCUCAAAAGAUUUGGAAUGAAGGACUCAAAGUAGGUUGGAACACCUAUGUGCACAUCUACCAACCUCGACAAAGAUGAAGAAGGUACAAAAGUUGAUGAAAAGAAGUAUAGAGAUAUGAUUGGUAGUCUGCUUUAUUUAACUGCUAGUAGACCAGAUAUCAUGUUUGUUGUAUGCUUGUGUGCUCGUUUUCAGUCCUGUCCAAAGGAAUCACAUUUGAAUGCAGUAAAAAGAAUUCUUAGAUAUCUAAAAGGAACCUUGAAUUUUGGUCUUUGGUAUCCUAAGUGUAAUGAACUCCCAUUGAGUGGAUUCUCUGAUGCUGAUUUUGGUGGUUGUAGAGUUGAUAGAAAAAGUACAUCAGGAAUAUGUAGUUUUCUUGGAAACUGCUUAGUAUCUUGGUUCAGCAAGAAACAAAAUGCUAUUUCUCUUUCUACAACUGAAACAGAAUAUAUUGCUGCUGGUGCUUGUUGUGCUCAACUGUUAUGAAUGAAAAACACAUUGAAUGAUUUCGGACUAAUAUAUGAAUGUGUGCCUAUGUAUUAUGAUAAUACUAGUGCCAUAAAUUUAACAAAAAAUCCCAUUCAGCACUCUAGAACAAAGCAUAUAGACAUAAAGCAUCACUUCAUUCGUGAUCUUGUCCAAAAGAGAGAAAUCUGCGUUCAGUAUGUGUGUUCAAAAAAUCAAAUUGCUGAUAUUUUCACAAAAUCCCUUCCACUGGACCAAUUUGUGUAUCUUAGAACAAAACUGGGCGUCUGUGAAAAAGUUCUCUAAAAACUUCCAUCGGACGUCCGAUGUGUUAGAACGGACGUCCGACAGUGUUCUUCAUCAGUUUCCCCAGGAAAUUUUUGUUCGGACGAUUGUGUCGGACGCUUCAUUUUGUUCGGCCGUCCGACACUCAAUUUACUGCGUCUUAUAAAGAAGUCAUCCACUUCAUUCAGUUCAGUUACCUCCUUAGACUCGGACGCAACCCUUCGGUUCUCCUUCAAAUACAAAAUUCAAAUCAAUCUCUCCAGUAUUCAAGUUCCAAGGAAUUGAUCCAACCAUCUUCAUUACACCUCCAUUGACCGUUUUACUUCACUCAUAACACCCCAUAACUCCCAACUGCCUCAUAAUUCCCAAUUCAUACUAGAAACCCUAAUUUUUCCAAAUCCACUACCUGUAAUCAUCUCAAGCAUCCUCUGCAGUUCUUAACGCACUAGUAGUCAAUUUGACACGCAUCUGCACUACACUGCAUCUCAAAAAUCAACUGCAUUACAUCAUGGUGAGAGUUAGAGGCGGUUCAGCAAGUGCCAGACGCACAUUUAGACUCAGGGAUGAAGAUGUUGAGAUCGUAGAACCUUCCACCAGGGUAUCCAAAAAGAGGACAGGGACUCGUGGUGGAAAGGCAAAGCAACCUGCAAAGAAGAUACAGGAUGCUCCAACUGCUGAUCCAUCUCCUGUACAAGUGGAAGCACAUCAAACUGAGGAACAAAUUGCUGAGGAACAGCAAACACCUGAACCCUCUACCAGAAAAUCACCGAGGACAAGGUCUGAUGCUCAGACUACUGGGUCAUCUGCCAAACAAAGUACAAAAAGGAAACGCACUUCAAAGGAACCAGCGGCUCAGCCUGUCAAAGAACCUACAUCCCUGCCAAAGUUCAUUGAUGACGAGGCCAGAGAUAGAUUUGAGUUAAUCUCUCAAAAAGGAUUCAUUAUUCAGAGGUCUGUCAUCCCAUAUGAAUUUUGUAAGAUUGAUUUAAAACCUGUGCUUAAGCUUUUUGAGUCCCAAAAAUGGACUCACCUCCUGACUAUCCCACACACCUUCUACCCUGACAUGCUUUACCAGUUUUUUGCAAAUCUUAGGAAAGGAAACUCACACACCGAGCUUAUCUCUAGAGUCAAUUCUGUUGAUAUCACUUUAACUCCUGAUGUCAUUAACUCUGUUUUAAAAACUAAGAUUGAAGAUGGUUUCAGAGGAAAAAUUACAAAUUUCUUUUCAUAUGAAGAAUUCCCCUCUACUUACCAUCAUAUUCACAUCUCCAAAUUAAUGACUUACUUUCGCACUCACUUCAACACUCCUGCUGAGGCGAGAUUAGAGGAUCUCAAUCUUCAGAACUUGAUUAUCUUCACAAUUGUUUCCAAUUUGUUGGUAUCCACUGAUGGUCACAGAAUCGAUGCAAACAAAAUGAAAUUGUAUCUGUUUUACUAUUUUGUGGAAAAGAUCAGAAUCGAUUUUGGUUUUGUGAUGUGCAAAUUCCUGCUUAAGAUUAGUACCGACAGUCGUAGGAAGCUUUCCUAUGGAAAAUUCCUGACUCCCAUCUUUGCUCACAUUGAAAUUCCCUUCACUGGAAAGUCUCCUAGAGAUAGUGCCUCAACUGUUUUCUCAAAGGCCUAUUUUGAACGAAAAACUUUGAAGUUUUUUGAGGGUCACUGGUGUCACAAGGAACCUUUGACAGAGUUCAGAAGAAAGAGCCUUCACGAAACUCCAGUCACUCCUAGGACCUCUCGGGAUCAAUCCAUGUAUAUCUCUCCUUUCACCAUUCACCCUAGAAAAUCAGCCAACAAGUCCUUUGUAUACAACUUUGAGGUCAUCACGUUGCUUGAAGACCUCAAGCAACAUGUUAUGCUCAUUGAAGAUGGUCUAAUGUCGACCAUGACACCUGACCGGCAGGCUUCCUUCAUUGAGAAAUGAAAUCUUCUUGUGCCUCCCAUUCCUGUGAACAAUGAACAUGCUCAUCAAAAAGAGCCCAGAAUUGAGCCUACUGAGCACACUCCUGGUACUGAAGCUACUCCAGAAGCUCAUGCCUCCAGUUCUCAACCCAAGAAUAAAGGAAAAGCUCCCAUCUCUGAAGAGGCGACUGAAGUUGAUGCUGAAGAUACUGAAGAGGAAGAUCAUGUGGAUCCUGAGCAAUUUCGUCUGACUAGGAGAAGGCCUGGAUCAUCCAAGAUCACCAUAUAGGCACUACUAGGCCACUGCACUUCAUUAGUAGUUCUCAAUAAUUCUCUUUUGCAUAUUUUGCUUUUAAAAGACAUCUGGUGUGUUUGUUAAUUUUAAGGAGUUUACUCCUCUACUGGUCUGUAAAAAUAUUUAGCUAUCCGUUGUUGGAAGAUGUUUCUAUAUUUUGGUUGUGUCUCUCUUGUCAUAAAUGGAUGUUGUCUCUCUUGUCUUAAAUGGAUGUCUUAAAUCCGUUGUUAGCUAUCUCUCUUGUCUGUGUAUGUUAGUUCUUGUUGAUUGCUGUCAUUUGUUACUGCUCUGAUCUUAGUUCUGAUUGAUUUUGGUUCUGAUAUGGAUAUUGCUGUUAUGAUGACAAAAAGGGGGAGAAACAUGGAUGGAAUCAGGAUAUGAAUCUAAUCUAUAUGUGAGGGGGAGUCAAGUAAAUUUUUCUGUGGGGUAUGGAAAAUUUUCUGAGGGGGAGUCACUGAAGGGAUGUGGAUAUCAUUCUGAGGGGGAGUUGUAAAUACUCCAAGGCCUCUCUAAGAAAAGGGAAACUAUAUCAAAAUUCCCUCACUUCAUCCAUUGUUUUGUCAUCAUCAAAAAGGGGGAGAUUGUUUAUCUUUGUUCAUACCUUUUGAUGAUUACAAAACAAGUGGAUAAAACUAAUGUUUUCCAAGCUUGUUUUUGGUCAGAAAAUGGAGCAAGACAGGUUCAAAGGCCAAGCAUCUGCUAAAACAUCUGUCGGACGCACAAAUACAUCCUAUCGGCCAUCCGAUAACCGUUGAGUAUCUUCGGACGCGCAAAGAACCUAUCCUCGGACGUCCGAAGCUGAUAAGUCAGUACUUCUAAGAUCUCUAACCUCGAUCAGACGCACAAUACCUGAGCACCGGACGUCCGACAAUCGUUGCAACACUUCGGACGACAAGCAUUAGAAGCAUCGGACGUCCGAAAGAAUUAAUGAAGGAUUCCAAGUUUUACAUCAUAUGGUCGGACGCAUAUUCUGAUGCUGCCGGACGUCCUAAAGAUUUCAAGAAAAUUUCUUGAACCCACUACCUGCGUUCGGACGCACAAAACCAGCCUACCGGACGUCCGACACUACUAACGACUAGUUGACUCUUCAUCUGCCUUGUGUCCGUUAGUGGCAUUAAUUGAAGAUGUUUUUGGUCUAUUAUAAAUAGGAUAAAAGUCAACCACCAAAAGUAUUGAUACACAUUAAGUCUACAUCAGAUCUUGAGUGAUUCAAGCAUAAGAAUACUCCAAAAAGAAGAUUUGUACUCUUAGUUGUGUGAUCUUCAUUUAGCUUUUCAAGUAUGAAUCAAUUUCUUCAAUAAUGUAGCUUUGUGAGGGUUAUUCGAGUGAUUGUAAAACUUCCUUGCUUGAUCAAAUGUAUCUUGAGGCAAGGAGGAAGUGAUCCUUUCCGUGUACACAAGAGAUUGGUUGUAUGUUGAAUCAACUUGAAGGAGCUUACAAUAUAAAGAGAUAUUCAAACUCUAGUCGAGUUUGAGAUUUGGUUUGCUAUUCCAUCUUCUUAUUCACUGUUUUGCAACAUUAACUGUUUAUCUCUUCUGCUCUAAAUUACUUCCGCUUUAUCAUAAAUUGUUCCUUGGUCUAGUUCUUUAGAAAAAGAGGGCUAGUUCAGAAAAAAAGUGAUUUAUAUUUUGGUUAGCUUUUAAACCACCUAAUUCACCCCCCUUCUUAGGUUGUCUUCGAUCCUUACAAAAUGAUAGUUGUUUAUAUUCUUAUCACUCAAUGAUGAGAGUGGUCUAUAAUUUAAAUGAUUGAGAUAUAUAGCCAUCCAAAUAUAAAUUUAAUACGAGGGUAUGAUACCUAAAAGUGACUAUAGAAUCUCCCUAAAUGAUAAAUAAUGUGAAUUAGAUAUUCCCUCAAAAACUUGUAAAGUACUUAAUGUAUAUACGGGUAAAUUCUUGCAAUAGUGAAAGGAAAAUAUCGUACUAGCCUUGAAUUUUUGGCUAUGUAUUGACUUUUGUUAGCUAAAUUAAACUAUCCUGGAGUGAAGACAUAAAAUCUGCUACAAAUAUUGAAAGAAUUGUGAACAUAGCUAACUUAUCUAGCAUACAAAUUUUUUCUCGAGUUUGAGUUCUCUCACUUAUACUAUAAAAACAAAAAAACUAUCGUACAUUUAACUUCCAACUAACAACGAUGUAUAGAUAACAAAUUAUAUGCAUGGGAUAUUCCCAUAAAUAAAUGAAAUAUAUUUAAGUGAGAAAGAGUAAAUUCUUAAAUUAAGAAGAAAUAAUAUUAUAGUACCUGUCAAUUUGAUUAUAUGACUUUUUGGUUUGUCUUUACUCAUGAUAGCCAAUUAUAUAUGUUAUUUUGAUGUAAAAAUAUCCAAAAAUGGUUAAAUACAAUGAGGGACAUUAUUAUUAUUACUCGGAUUAAGCAUGUCAAUGGGUAGGGUCUGGUUUGGAUCCCUUUGAUCCAGAUCCAAACCCAUUUAAUUUAGUUAGAUUCAGACCUAAAUCUAUACCUUUUUUGGUUUAGAAAGGUAAGGCCAUACCUAGACCCUUAUGGAUCUGGAUAUCCAAUGGACAUCCAUGAAUAUUUUUGAACAUACUAAAGUAAAAAUGUAUUUAAAAUAUAUAGAGUUCAUAAAUAAUAUAAAUACUAUUCAAUUUUUGUUUUCAAAUAAAACAUUAACAUUUGACAAGUUGAAUGCAAUAUUGUGAACUCAAAGAAAGAAUUAUUAUUGACUAUUUUUAUAUAUUUUCAAAGAUUCAACUGCAUCCAUACCUAAUAUUUUAUUUGUUUGCCUUUACUUUUUCUCCUUUUCUUGAAAAGUUUGAACAAAUUACAAUGACAACCAGGAUUAGUUUUUAAAAAAAGAAAACAACCAUAACAUAUAUAAAUAUUUAAUCUCAUUAAAAAAAUGUAAUUUUGUACCUCUUAUUCUUAUUUAAACUUCAAUAUUGGUAUAUGUCUCGCAAUCCAGCACUAAAAUAGUGAAUGAGAUAAAAAUCAUUUGACUAAGGACCUAACAAAUAAAUAUUAGAAUAAGAAGAUUUACAAAUACUUAUUAAUUUUUUGGGUAAAAUACCAAAAAACUCCUUGUGGUUUACUAAAUGUUUAAUUUAACUCUCUUUGGUUUGGAAACCUACACUAUAACUCCCAGUGAUUUUAACUAAUUUGAAAAUUGGACGGAAAACAUCCAAUCUAAUGGUUAUACGUGAAAUGUCAAUAUUGCCCCUAUAUAAAUGAACUCCCUAUGGUUUGUCAAAUGGUCAAUUUAACACCCUCUAGUUUGAAAAAUUACACUAUAACUCCCUGUGGUUUCGACUAAAUUGAAAAUUGAAUGGAAGCAUCUUACAUAUAGUAAGGACAAUAUUGAAAUUUCACACACAACCGUUAGAUUGGAUGCUUUCUGUCCAAUUUUCAAUUUAGUCAACAUCACAGGGAGUUAUAGUGUAGGUUUCCAAACUAGAGGGAGUUAGAUUGAAUUUUUAUCAAAUCACAAGGAGUUUUUUGGUAUUUUACCCUAAUUUUCUUUGAUUCAAUUCAAUCAUCACUAGUCACUAAUGUUUCAACCAUGUCUAGAAGCAGUUUGACAUGAGUCUCUUCAAUCACCAAACCAUCAAUACUAAAUGUAGAUUCUAAUACCAUAAUAUCUUACUAUAUUCGAUCCAAUAACCAUAAAAUAUUAGAUUAUUUUAUAAAUUUACUAAUAUAUAUAUUAUUUAAUUAAAUAUAUAUAUGGAUUUGGGUAAAGUUUGGUAUGAGUUUGGAUUUGGAUAUGGAUUCUAUAAAACUAGACCUUACCUAGACCCACGACUCUUUCACAGGGUCUGGGUCUGGGUAUGAGUAGGGUCUAGAUUUGAGAAAUUAAAUCCAAACCCUACCCAAAUAUAGUGGGUCUGGGUUGGAUCUGGAUAAGAUUCGACCCAUUGACAUGCCUAACUCCAGAUACCUCAAUAUUUAUAAAAUUUGUUAAAUUGGAAUCCAUUUGGAUUUGACAGUAUUUUGAAAAAUUAUUUUUGUUUUUUAGGUUUACAGUAAUAAAUUUUACAAACAACCUUAAAAACAAUUCAAAAAAUGCAACAUAUUUCAAAUACAUUAAAAAAUAAUUAAAAAAUUCCCUCAUUCUUCUUCCCCACACUACCCACUACAACCACCACCACCACCACCCAUUACUCUCCACUACCACAGCCAUCCCCACACCCAGGACCCUCCUUCCUCUCUCCCCUCUCCUCUCUCUCUCUCUCUCUCUCUCUCUUUCUCUCUCUCUCCCCCUACUAAUUCUCCUUCUCUUUUCUUCUUCCUCCUCUCCCUUGUCCUUCCUCCCUUCUCCCUUUCCUUUCCCCCCCCCCAAUCCCAUCUCCCGUCUACUGACCGCAACCUUCCCGGUCGUGACUAGAAAGGUCGCUAGAAGCUGCGACUGGUGGCUUCCGGCCACAACCAAGAAGGUUGUGGCUGGAGUCUCAGAUGGAGUCGCAACCACCAGGGGAGACUCAGGUGGAGUCUCAGGGGAGAGGGGUUUGGGGGCGGGAGAGGAGAAGGAAAGGAGGGAGUAGAAGAGGAAAGAGGAGCGAGAAGGAAGAGGAAGGGGAGGAAAGAGAGGGAGGGAAAAAGAGAGAUAGAGGGGAGGAGUAGGAAGGGAGUGGCGGCAGCGGGUGGUGGUGAUAGGUGAUGUAAAAUUUUUAAAAAAUACCCCAUAAAGUUGUUGCAAAAUAUAUUUUAAAAAUAUUCCAAAAUAUAUUUUGAAAAGCCCUGAAAAUACUUUUAAAAACACCUCAAAAAACAUCUAUAGUAAAAGUUUUUUUUAUAUAUAGUUGCAGUAAACUUUUUGAAAGACACCCCCAGAAACAGCUAGUCCAAACAGAGUCUUGAGUUUUGAGAUUAAGGUGCAAUGAUUGACUACUUUUAGGUCAAAACAAAGCUUGGCCGAAAGUUUAGUGGGUUAAAAUAUAAUUUUAAAAAUUAAUCAUUUUCCCUAAUCCUCACAGCUGCAAUGGGGACACUGGUCGCCCAUCUUCAACCACCACCAACACUGCUUUUCAAGAUCAAUUCUUGUCCAACACUCAUUUUAUUCGCUUGAGUCAUGAUUAUGGCAUCAUUUUUCAUCAAUUUAAACCCUUUGACGAUACAAAAACAAGGUCACAAUUGAAAUUUUGAUUUGAAAAUUUGAAACUUUCGGGAUUGCCUCCUGCUAUGGGCUUGUCUCAGACUCGGGCAUAUGCCCAAACAAAUUCAUCAACCAACUCUCACUCUGCCAAGGCACUCAAUCAACCCCUUUAAAACAAUUUUGAAGACACUCAAUACUAGGGUUGGACAAAAAUACCCGUUUACUCAAAAAUCCAUCAUAUUCGAUUCGAUUCGAUUCGAUUCAACAAAUAGGGUAUCCGAUGUGCAUUAUUUGAUUAGGUCAAAAGAGGGUUAGGUAAUUACUUAUAUGCGAUGUAAGGUAGGGUUACAUGAUUAAGAAUCCGUGGGUAUCCAACGCGUCACACAAAUAUAUAUUUUAUUUUUUAUUUUUAUACACAUAUUACAAAAUAAUACUUUUGGAGCUAAAUAAGUAAUUUUAUUGAAGAAGCUAUAUUAUAAAUAUGAAAAUUAUAGUUUGUUUAUAAGAUUCAUUUAUAGAGGUCGUGAUCUUUUUUUCUUUUAGGAAAGAGUUUAAUUAAUGUAGAAUAUAUACUUUUAAAAAGGUACUAUUUAGUUGAAAUUUUCAUUGAUUUUGAAUUAUUUUAAUUAUUUUCUUUUUCUUGUAUUCUCUUCGCAUAUUUGUUUUUUGGUAGGAGACUUUUUUUGAGAAAAAAAUCUUUAUUAAGUCUUAGAUAAAUAUUCAAAAUACAAAAUUAAAUUACUAUAAAUUAUCUUUUUUUAAAACUAAAUGAUAACCAAGGCGACGCAGGUACCUGUUAAGCCGACCCUACCUUAACAAAUAUCCGUUCGUAUGCGGAAUGGGUAAGGGUCAAAAAACAACUGACCUGCAAGGUGCAGGUCUAGUCAGCCAAAUAAUGCAUAGAACAUGUACUACUCAACCCAUACUCACCCCUACCCAAAACAAAUCUUAAUAAUCAUAAAAUAGCAACCAGAACAUGCAAAAUCCAAUUUUCAAAUUUCUCCUCAAGAUUUAGCAUCAAAUUUUACAAAAAUUACACAAAAAAAUCCAAUCAACAAAUAAAUACUCAAGCACUGAAUUGGCAUUAUACUGUAUUUGUGCAGCACCGAAUUGACAUUAUCUGACUUGUAUGUAUGGCGAAAGAGAGGAACUAUGGAGAGGAGGGGGAGGAGGGAGAAGGAUGUUGAGAGUAAGGGAGGAGAUGAAUCAGAAAAUUUAGAUAUUUUUUCUUUUUAUUUUUCUAUAUUUUCUUUUAACCGUAUUUGUAGGUAACUUGCAUCAAAACGGCCUUAUUCUCUCAGUACUUUUUUUGCCUUUUUAUAAAACACAGGUGCAUUAACGCACAACAGAAGCACCCUAUCAAUCUAAGAUCCCAGCCUGCUUGUAGCUUUCGACAGAGUCAACAAGGGUUUCUUCCACAGGUCUAUAUGUCCAGCCUAGCCUCUCCAAUUUUUCUGAGCUAAUAUUCCAUCGGCUUUGAUCCUUCACCUCUAUAAGUCUGCGAAGAAAUGAGCUAUUUCAAGAAAAUAUGCAGACAACAUAAAUGGUUCUUGUAGAGACUCGUAGAUGCCACACUUUUGGAAAUGGAAAUCAUGACGGACAUGAACA